rnacentral:lncRNA from 1 species
GGCUACCGUGUUGCGCGCCGCAGGAGGUGCAAGGCCCGCGUUGGGAUCCAGCACAGGGUGACCAAGGAGGACUCGAUGAAGUGGUUCCAGGUCAAGUACGAAGGUGUCAUCCUCAACAAGGCUCAGGCCAACACGGUGUAAACCUUAGUUUGUCUAAGCUCCAUGCAGACGCAAGAUCACCAUGCAAGGUUUUUGUUCACAUUGUAUUCUCUGACCUGAUGGUUUAGUCUACUACUAUAGCAGAGCUAUAAAACGCCAUAUGAAUUAUUUCAGUGCCCGUAUCAUACAUUCAUACUCUGUUCUGUUGCUUGAAAACAUGCUAGUCUGAUCUCCUAGCGCAGCUUGUGAUCUGGCUCUUCUUUGGUUAGAUUGCUUUAUUUAUCUGCCACACCUGGUUUUUGUUGGCGAAUAGCUGUCACCCGAUCUUGAAAAUUGAAGCGAACUGAGGGGAAGGUUUCUAAUGUUUGUAUUUGGGUAUCAGCGCAGUACGAACAUUUGUGUACUGAUUGUUGUCUCUACAGAAUUUCUUCAAAAGGGUGGUAAAAUUCCAUGGGUGAAUGCAAGUGUCUACUGUCAUCAAGCCAUCAGGGACAGGGAGUACGAAACAAGGGCUUGUGUUAUCUUAAAAUUUAUACGCUUAUAUUUUAUAUGAACAUAGGGGGUGAGACAUUCCUGAACAGCAGACCAUAAUGCGAAUGUAACCCAACUCGUUACCCUUACCCAUAUCCUGAUACACCUGUCGCCCUCCACGGGAGCUUCGUCCGCUGCGUCACGUGCCUCUCGCCGGCGACCACUGAACCGUCCUGGCUCGUCCACACACCGUCGGUGGUGUCCUACGCUUCCCUGCUCAACGCCACCAUCCAGAACCUCUGCUUCGCCUCCCCACGGACGACGUGGCCGACACUGCUCCUGACCCCAGCGACCGUCGUAGAAGCGCGGGCCUGCGUCGCCUGCUGCCGGCGCCACGGCCUCACGGUCCACGCCCGCAGCGGCGGCCACGACUACAAGGGCCUCUCCUACCGCUCGGUCCUCCGGAGCGCUGGCGCCGCCCGCCCCUUCGCCGUGGUCGACGUCGCCGCACUGCGAUGUCCGCGUCGACGCCGCGCGCCGCGUGGCGACGGUCGGGCCGGGCGCCACGCUCGGGGAGCUCUACUACGCCGUGGCGCGAGACAGCGGCGGAGCGCUAGGGUUCCCUACGGGGAUCUACCCCACUGUCUGCGUGGGCGGCCACCUCAGCGGCGGUGGGUUCGGCCCCAUGAUGCGGAAGCAUGGGCUUGGCGUGAACAACAUGGUGGACGGCGACGAGAGGCUCUUGGACCGCGUGGCCCUGGGCGAGGGCCACUUCUGGGCGAUCCGCGGUGGUGGGGGCAGGAGCUUCGGCGUGGUGGUUUCCUGGACGGUGCCGCUGGUCCCCGUGCCACGCGUCAUCUCCGCCUUCACUGUGCGCCGAUUGGUCCGCUGCGGGGACCGACGGCAGACCCAGGCGACGGUCUGGCUGCUGGCCAAGUGGCAGCGCGUGGCGCACGCGCUCCCCGAUGACCUGUUCGUGAAGGCGGCCAUGGAGUCGGAGCUCGACGACACUGGCGAGAGGCACCCGCUGGUGACCUUCAAGUUGUUGUUCCUCGGCGGCAACUGCAGCGGGAUGGUGGCGGAGAUGAGCACCCACCUACCGGAGCUCGGCAUCACAGCGAGCGACUGCAGAGACAUGAGCUGGAUCCAGUCGAUGCUCUACUUCUACGGGUACACGAGCGGGCAGGCCGCCGUGGAGGUGCUCCUUGACCAGAGCCUGCAGCCCAAGGACUACUGCGUGACGACCCCGAUCCCGGCGGCCGGGCUGGCAGGGCUCCUCGCCAGGGUGGUGGAGGACAGGGGCGGGUCCAUCGACGUGAACCCGCAGGGCGGCGCCAUGAGCGCGACGCCGAAGUCGGACACGCGUACGCGCAACGGCGAGGGUACCUGUACAACGUGCUGUACUUCGUCAAGUGGGGCGGCGACUCCAACGUGUCGUACGAAAACGCGCACCUCGGGUGGGUGCGGGGCGUGCACCGGUGGAUGGCGCCAUAUGCGAGCGCGAGUCCCUGGGCGGCUUACGUCAACUUCAGGGACCAGGACCUAGGGCAGAACAUGGACGGGGAGACGACCUAUGACGAGGCCAGGGCGUGGGGGGAGAUGUACUUCAGGGGCAACUUCAGGAGGCUGGCCAUGGUGAAGGCCGAGGUCGAUCCUGACCAGGUGUUCUGGAGCGAGCAGAGCAUCCCUCCCCUUUUUGAGGUUGGGGAGGAGACAGGGGAAUGGCACAGUCAGAGUGGGUUGUUUUCGGACAGUUGAUGAGUGAUCUUCUCCUUCUCUUGCCCGAAAAGCCAUGAAACAUUGCUUGUUGAUUUGUUGUGAGAGAAAAACACAGUUGAAUAGUUAACAGAUUCGGCAGUUAAGCUCAAGCAAACAGGCUCAUCUAUUCUGCGAUAGAAUGUGAUGUGCUUGCCCCAAGUGUCAAUAUCCAAUGAUGCAAUAGAACGAUACAGUGAUGUAUCAAUCAUAUAUUCAUGAAUUACAAAAGGCGACACAGUGAUUUCUAAAUUCUGCGCGACAUCUUGUUGCUAGUUUCAACAUUUUCAGUGUGGCAUUGCUGAUAUUGCGAGGCAAGGAGUAUUGGCGCCCAUGCUAUGUACAAAACCAGCACUGAAACUAUAGGGCCUCAACUGAAGUUGUAGUGGAGGUUGACAUGUAAUGAACUAGAAAACCAGCUCGGCUUUGCCGCGCCCUCCGUGGAGUGGGUCAGCCUGUUUUUACAGGUUUUGUUACUCCUCUUUUCUCUAUAUCUUCUCUACUUUUCACAGUAUCUUCUUUGGAAGACGUAUUAAUACUGAUAAAUAGAGGGGAUAAUUUUGCCUGUAAAACAAUGGUAAUAUUGAGAUAUGGUAAAACUUUUCUUUGCUAACAUCUUUAGAACAAAUGUGUAUUUCCAUUUUCUGCCCAAUCAAAUGUUGUUCUUUUAGGAGGCCUAGAACCUGUCAUAGAUUUCACUUAAUUUGUGGACAGUUUUUUUAUAAUAGCUAGGAGGUAUAGCUUGUAUCUAUAUGUUAUGAAUAAUAAACAUAUAUUAAAGUGAUUUUGUCUCUAAUUUAGUUUUGUUUUUUUUUGAGAGAGAUCCCUGGAAUCGUCAGAGAGGUCUCAAGCUAACAUAAACAUGGACCACUUUAGCACUGAGUGCUAGAACUUUAUUGGGAUCAUACCAUUACCAUCUAGAGUGUAGCAUCAUUUCUUUUUGGAAGUCUAUUACCACAGCGUGGGAGAUAUGGAGACAAAGAAACCCUCAAAUCUUGAGGGGAACUCUAAUACACAGGAGAUCUGUGUAUCAAGAAGAAAAGGGGAUAGAAACCAACAACAUCACACAGCCCCACGACACAGACAGAUCACACACACAAAAAGAAAACAAAAAUGAACUCGCCAAUGACUGCAAGCACCAAACAACCUCAGCCAACAAAGUAACUAACGCUAGACCUAAAGGCGAGGAGAUGUGAAACCCCUCGAGCCACAGCUAAACACUAGAAAUGUAGUUCCUUCUGAUGAAUUCUAAAACUCCAUUCAAACUAGGCUAGAUCCCAUGAAACACGUAUGGAUUGUGGAGAUUCCAGAUUGCCCAUGUUUGAAGGAUGAUAAUGGAGUUUAGACCUCUAACUAUUGUUUGAAACGUUAGAAAGUGAUAAAAAGGUUCAACCUAGGAGUCAACACUAAGUGAUCCUACCUGUCUUUAAUCAGGUUACCCAUACAAGAGAGAUCAACAAACUAAUGUGCCUCCCAUUUUCUAAGUAGGUCAUCAUAGAUGUCUCCUUUCUUAAUCUUCUGCAAGCACAGCUUCAGCUCGGAUUGUGUCGAUAAACUCAACUUGAUACCCCGAUCAACCAUGUCUUCUACAUACUUGCAUGCCUUAGGUAGCCUGUCAUCCUUAAGCUUUGACACAAGCAUGUUCCCACACUCCUCUAAAGGUGGCAAGCCAUUCUCCACCAUGCAGCUCCAGACUCCCAGUCUCCCAAUAGCGUGCAUCCAAAAACAAGCGAAGUGCAAGCGAACAAGUUUCCUCGUUUGGCCAACAUUCGUUCUUAACCAUCUCGCUAAAUAUUGAAGAUCAUGUCGUCAAGAUAAUCCACUAUCACCUCAGCAUGCCCAAGACUACCCUACAACAUGAUCAUUGUGUUGUACAUUUCCAUGUCUCGGACGAGCCCUCGAUGUCCAACAAACUUGUCCCAGAGAGAUAAGUGGCACCGCGCAAUUCUCCAGCCUCAAGGUGCACGACGAGAGCAGCAUGGAAGAACCUCUGUCCUGUUCCCGGCAAACAGUCGUGCCUCUUUAAGAAGUCUAGAUAGUACGUUGCUUUUGGUAGCGCCAUGGAGUAGUUGCUUGACACAAUCGUAGUGAGGAAGGCAUCAUAGGCAGGCACAUUGUCAGGAUCACCACCGAUGUCACGCACCAUUUCGUCGAACACGUCUCGUGCAGCCCACGUGUCGGCGGCAGCCUUGCACACUCGAGGAGGAUUGCGUAGGAGUCGGCAUCCGGUAGCGUGCCGACCUCGGCGCGGGCUACUAGGAUCACCGCGCGGGCGUCGUCGAGGCGGUUGGCACGACAGAGCGCGGAGAGGAGCGAGUUGAGCGUCGUCGUGUCGCAGGCCAUGUCAUAGUGCGGCAUGUCGUCCAUGAACGCCUUGAGCAUGGAACAGCUGGGGCUCGCCGCCAGGGAGGAGAAUACGGAGGCGAAAGUGUCGAGCGAGAGCAGCCACCGUGAGUGCAUGGAGUCGACGGUUUCCCACAUGCGCGUGAAGAUGCGGUUUGUGCCGAGGAUGUCGAUGACGAGGUUCCACGAGUAGGGGGAGUGGUUGUCGUGGCCGAGGUGCCAGUGCCCCGCCAAGUGGAAGAAGGCGGCGGCGGCGCAUGGGUGCGCGUAGGAUAAGCGAAGCACCUGCUCGACGUUAGUGGUGGUUACACCGCGGAUGUCGGCCUUGUCGAGCGCGGCGUCCACGUCGUCGUCGGCAAUGGGAGGCUAGGAUAUCGCAGAAGAUGCAGGUCUUGUGCGGCAGCUCGGGGGCUUCCUUGUUCGUGGGGAACGCCAGUGAGGACGGGUCGCGGGCGCGCUUUGCCGCCGGCGAUGCCACCGUGGCUGCGCUGUCGGACGGCCGCUUCGCCAGGUGAUGGGACAUCACAGAUUCACGGCGGGGGAACUCGAGUGGUCGCCAUUACGAGAGGCUGCACUGCUGCUGCAGGGGUCAAGUUGGGCCGGCGAGGUUACGCCAUGUUAUGUUAAACUCUAUGGAGUAUCACAUAGGCUUUGUUUUUUUCCUUAAAAAUUUCAAGAUUUCUCGUCACAUCGAAUCUUGCAGCACAUACAUAAAGGAUUAAGACUUUGUUUAGAUCCAAAAAGUUUUUAGAUUAUGACACUAUAUCACUUUUAUUUUUAUUUGACGAACAUUAUUUAACCAUAGACUAACUAGGCUUAAAAGAUUUGUCUUGCGAUUUACAGACAAACUAUGCAAUUAGUUUCUUUCAUCUAUAUUUAAUGCUCUAUGCAUGUGUUGCAAGAUUAAUGUGAUAGGGAAUCUUGAAAAGUUUUUGGUUUUGGGUGAACUAAACAAAGCCUUAGACCUUCACCCCAAAAUCUAAAAUUUUUUCAAGAUUCCCCGUCACAUCAAAUCUUGUGGUAUAUGCAUGGAGCAUUAAAUAUAGAUAAAAAUAAAAACUAAUUGCACAGUUUACAUAUAAAUCGCGAGAUAAAUCUUUUGAGUCUAGUUAAUACAUGACUGAACAAUAAUUGUCAAAUAAAAAUGAAAAUACUAUAGUAUCCUAAACCAAACAAUUUCGGGAACUAAACAAGGCCUCAAUAUAAACAAAAAUAGAAAGUAAUUACACAAUUUACCUAUGAUUUACGAGAUGAAUCUUUUGAGCCUGGUUAGGCCAUGACUGGACAAUCAUUACCAAAUAUACAAACGAAAGUGCUACAGUACCCAAAAUCCAAAAAUUUUGCCAACUAAAUAAGGCCUAGUUCACCCAAAAACCAAAAACUUUUCAAGAUUUCCCGUCACAUCGAAUCUUGCGGCACAUGCAUAGAGCAUUAAAUAUAGUCAAAAAAAAAACUAAUUACAUAGUUUACCCGUAAAUCGCGAGAUUAAUCUUUUGAGCCUAGUUAGUCUAUAAUUGGACAAUAAUUGCCAAGGCCCAAAACCAAAAAAAAAUUGGGGCCUUGUUUAGUUCUAAUUUUUUUUUUGCAAAAUCGACACUGUAGCACUUUCGUUUGUAUUUAGUAAAUUUUAUCUAAUCACGGACUAACUAGGCUCCAAAGAUUUGUCUCCCAAAUUACAGACAAAUUGUUCAAUUAGUUAUAAUUGUAUCUAUAUUUAUUGUUUCAUGCAUGCGCCAUAAGAUUUGAUGUGAUGGAAAAUUUGAAUUUUUUUGCAAACUUUUUAAGAACUAAACAAGGCCUAGUUCUCCUUUUUUUCAAAAAUUUUUGGGUUUUUUUUUUUUGCAAAAAGGUAGUUAUUCUCCAUUUUGGAUUUUGACCUCAAGAGGCAAAAAGAACUAAAAGAGAGCCUCAAGAGACUCUCAUGAGGGCAAUAAAUUUUGUAUUUUGAAUGGAACUAAACAUGAUCCUGAAAAUUUUGGUAUUUUGCAUUUCAUCACUCUAAAGUAGGUGGAAUUUCGCAUUUUGGAUUCUUGGGGAACUAAACACCCCCUAAAUUUUAAGACAUAAAGUAUAAAAUAUAGACUAUUUAUAAAAUAAAAAAUAUAGCUAGAAAGUAAUUUGUGAGACAUUUUUAAGCAUAAUUAGUCUAUAAUUAAAUACUAAUUGCUAUAGACAAUGUGCUAAUGAUGGAUUAAUUAAGCUUAGUAAAUUUGUCUCAUGGAGUACUGACAGAAUCUGUAAUUUAUUUAUUUUAUUAAUAUCUGAAUACUUGAGGGAACACCCUAUAUAACAUCUGAUGUGAUCUGUUGCUUUUAAUCCUCUAUCCCUCCUUUCAAAAAAAUAAUUUUGACUAAAUUUAUAUAAAAUUUAUUAAUAUUUAUGAUACAUAACUAAUAUUAUUAGAUACAUUGUUCAAUUCAUUUUUUUCAAAAUAUUUCAAGAUAUAAAUAUUACUAAUAUUUUCUAUAAAUCAAGUGAAAUUUAUUAGCACACAGACUAACAACGAUAAAACUAGUGUACUUUUAGAACGAAGAAGAAAAUGGUAUAUCACUAGUAGAGUGUCUCUAUGCCACGCUCAUGUGUUGAAACAUUUGAUUUUUUUCCUUCAUCGUCUUCUUCCUCCUCCCCAUGCACCAUCGCAAACCUCGUGCCCACCGCUUCCCACAGCGGCGGAGCUCUGGUGAGACCCUACCAUGGCCGCAGCAACCUUCUUUUUCUCCUCCCUGCUCCUACCACUGCUAUGGCCAUGGGAGCCAUCGCCCCGACCUAGCCCAACCACCUCCUCUAUUGCUGGAACCCUAACGCGGCCUGGGCGGCCUACCUCCCCCUAGCAAAGUUGGGAAAGAAGAGAGAGAGGCCCAAGAUGGAGAAAAAUAAGAGAAAGAGAAAUCGAGUGUUGAGAGAGAGAUAAACACUCAAGCACGAGAUGCUUUAUUGGACUAGUACCAUGCAUUUCUACAGUUGUGCUAGUGCCACACACCUGACAACACUUGAGAGACUUUUUGGUGAGGCCUAUAAUGAAAAUUCCUCUUUGCUUGCACGUUAUUCUUGUAUACAAAAAAUGAAAUAACUUUGCCAGAGAGAAAAAUAGGGUGAGUUUGAAUUUUAUGUAAAAAAUGGUGAGGUGAAGACAUCCGGUCACAAAAAUAAAUAAACGCCGAAGACAACCAGUUAUUAUUACCAACAACAAAUGACUCCAAGAAGGUAACUAUGCUCCAAAACCUUCAGUGGAUCUUUUGGGUGAAAACCUUGUCCCUAUUAGGCAGGCAGCAACGGCGCUAUCUGCGUCGCUCCUCCUUGGAGGCAUUGUCUUUGUAGUCCCCUGCCAUGGUGUGCGUCGGGCUGCCUCCCCCUCUUCCUCGAUGCUACGUGUGGUUGUCGCCGCUUGUGGUCUAACAUCGUCUUCUGUCAUGCUAUGGAGAUUAUCAUUGUGCCUAUGAUCCGUCUGCACGUUUCAUACCUUCAACACAUGUUUGUCCUAUGUUGUGGUCGCUUCUUCGGUAGAUGCUUUGCCCCUUUGUUUGUCGCUAGUGCACUUCUUUGACAUGGAUGCUUUGGCACCGACGUCAAUGGUUCUGGCUGAGCGGAUACUUUGCCGUUGCAGCUUUUGGUGAUUUCUUCACUGUUGUUUCGGCUUUCCUAUAGCGAAGGGGAGGAGGAAUGAACUCGUAGCUCGAGGGGCCUCGCAAACAUCUACGAGUGUUUGGUUUUUCAGUUUAAUGGGUGGCAAGCCUGCUAGCAUUUGUGUCAAUUGGUUCAUGUGACGAGCUGACUCGAUCUUAUUGUUAGCAGGUUAUUGGAUGAUGUGGCCCUAUCCAUGGUUAUAUUUUUGGAUGCAUAAUUUCUCGAGCGCCUGGUUUUAGUUUAGAGGGUGUUUGUGACUGCUCCACAAACUCCAUCGUGGAGCAGCUCCACAAAAAACUAGAGUUUGUGGAGUACCUCUUUAGUUGCUCUCACAACUCCACCAUUUUUCCUCAAACUAAGUGCGUGGAGCUAAAACCGUUUGGCUAAAAACAUGGAACGGAGCUGAAAAACGUGGAGCAGAAUAGUCCCAAACACCCCCUUAAUGGGUGAGACACCCGCUAACAUUUGUAUCGAAUGUUCACGUGAUGAGCUGGUGAAAGCCCAAGUUUGGUUUUGGUAAUUAAUGACACCAAGUUGCUAAUGCCUUGUGUUUAAGUGAUUUGAGUUAGGCAUAGCAACACAGGUGAUGAAGGUGCAUGGUGGCAUGGAAAGGUGGCCACAUGAUCACAAAGGGAUGAAGCAUGAAGUAAAGAUCAUGGUGAUAGACGAGGAGCAAAGUUAUCAAGGCAAAGGUAUAAACAUAGGGUUUUACUUUUACCGAUCUAAGAUGAGUAGAGAAGUGAUUGACCGGGUUUAGGAUAAAUAGUCGGCUUUUGAGAACACUCACCGGACGCUUUUGAGAAAAUUAAGUGUAUAUUUUCUAUUGCGCCGGUGGGAAAUUUGGAGAAGUCGUGAAACACUCACCGGACGUAGUGCGCGGAGGCACCAGACGUUGGCUGAGCGUCCGGUGUGCUGUCAGUGCUUGGCCCGGUUAGGGUUGAGCACCGGACGCACUACAUCGGACGCAGGGUGUUCCCUGUUCAUGCGUCCGGUGUGGCCUGACUUAAGCUGAGGGUGUCUGACUGAGAGCACCGGACGCUCUGAGUGCGUCUGGUGGUGUGCGUCCGGUGUGCCUCUCUGCGCAUAAGUCCGGUGAGCACCGGAGCGUCCGGUGCUCCGAGUCCAGUGAGAUCUCUGAGUUUUACAAACUCUCUACGCACGAGUUCGGUGAGUACCGGAAGCGUCCGGUGCUCACUUUACCGCGUCCGGUGGUUCACAGGUAGCCGUUAGAGAUUGACUUAUGAGAUUCAAAGGUGGACACGUGGCUAUCUCUUGAGCACCGGACGCAGGGGGUCGAGCGGCUGGUGGUACCUUGGUAGCGUCCGAUGCCCCCAAUUUCAGCCAAGUGAAAGUGGCCAACGGCUCUUUUGUUGUGGGGGCUUAUAAAUAGAAGGUAGCCGACUUUGGGAGACUUACUCUUGCACAUUUGAUUACUUGAGGCAUACACUGAGCUAGAGAAUACUCCCUCCACUCAUCUCCUUGUUUGAUUGCUAAUCCUAGUGAGAUUGAGUGAGAUUCAAGUGCAUUGCUUUGAGAGUUGCAUCUAGUGGCACUUGAUCCUUGAGUUUGCUGUGGAUUUCUUGUUACUCUUGGGUGUUUCCCGACACUCUAGAUGACUUGGAGCAGCGGUCGUGUUGAGCUCGUGAUUGGAGAUUGUUUCGAGCCUCACCAAGUGAUUUGUGAGGGGUUCUUGAGCCUUCCUCGCGGGAGAUCGCAAUUGGCUACUCUAGUGGAUUGCUCGUGGCUUGGAGGAUCCCCAUCUUGUGAGUGGAUGUGCGGCACACGCUGAGGGUUUGGCUUUAGAUUGCCAAUUAGCUCGUGAUCCGUCAAGUGGGUGUAUCACCACAAUGAGGACUAGCUUGCUGGGAAGCAAGUGAACCUCGGUAAAAAAUCAUGUGUCAUAUCUUGCCGAGGAUUCUCUUUGGGAUUGUGAUUGUGUAUGAUUGAUUGGACAUAUAUCUACACUACAAUGUUGGUAUAACAAUCACUCUCCACUCCUUUACAUACUUGCUUGUCUUGCCAGUUGUUUAGCUUGUUUAGCUUAGCUCUAGUUUAGAGUAGAGUUGUUGUGUAGCCUUCUCUUGUUGUUGUGGUUUAGUGUUUAGCCUUGUACUAGUUUGUAUAGGUGGCUUGCAUAGCUUAGUUGAGCUAGUGCUAGAAUAGCUUCGCCAUUUGUUUAACUAAUCAACUUGUCUAGUUGAGUUUGUAGAGAAUUUUAAAUAGGCUAUUCACCCCCCUCUAGACAUUUGGACCUUUCAGCUGGUAUCGGAGCUGAGGCACCGUUUAUUUGAGGCUUUACAACCUUCGGUGUAGAAUAGCGCUACCGUAUAUAUAUAUAUACACACACAUGACAGCGCUAUUCUACACCCUAGGUGUAGAAUAAUAUUCUACACCACAAGUCAAAAUUGAGCAGAAAAAAUACUGAGUAGUACUGAACCGUGUUCAGUAUCAUGUAAUAGUACACUCAGGACCACGAAAUACUGAACAAUACUGAAACACGGAUACUGAACGAUACUGAAUUCUGCUCAGUAUAACACUUCGGUGUAGAAUAGUAUUCUACACCUAGGGUGUAGAAUAGUAUUCUACACCUAGGGUGUAGAAUAGCACUUGUAUAUAUACACACACACUCUCUGCAAACAACUAGGGAAGUUUGAUUGGGGUUGUUAAAGUUUAAUAGGUACUAUAGCAUUUUCAUUUUAUUUGAUAAUUAUUGUUAAAGUUUAACAGGUACAUCUGGGAAGAAGAUGAACAGCAGCAAUGGACUUGGGUAGUCGCGUAGACGCUCCCCAAAAAACCUAAUUGCCAAUUCCCCGUGCAAGGUCUCGAACGGCAAGGGCUCCGGAGGCACCUGCCCUCUCGCUCCUUCGUGUGCGUGGAGUUACGAGAUGGGAAUUCCAACUUUGCAAUGAAACUGUGACCUAAGUGUUCUCUCUUCUUGUACCAAAGAGAUGAGAGUCUCCUAUUUAUCCUUGUGGCUGGAGAGGAGAGGAGGGGAAGGGACUCCCUGUUAGCGGCUGAGGAGACGGGCAUCUGAAGGGUUUUCACAUGGACUUAAAACUCCCUCAAUUACUUAUCGAAACACCCACAGAUAAUGAGUUGAAACUCCCACAUAAUUGAGUUGAAACUCCUAUACCGUCAGCCUGCCACUCCAACUCUUGGACUUCCAAUUUGGUACAAUAUUUAUUGUCCAUAAUUGCACACCAUAGAGUUUAUUGAUUUAUUAAAUCUAAAUGGGUCUAGCCCAUACUAAAUCCAACAAUCCCCACCAAUCUCUAGGGUUUAUAAUGAUGAAGCAUCAGAACCAUAGUUCUUUGAUAUAUCAGUGUUUCGAUGGAGUCUGUUAAGUUGAACAUCCAUCUAGAACAAGAGUUUUACCCACUCACACCUGAACAAUGGACUAUGCCUUGAAUUGACAGUUUUGUGCGAGAUGAGAUCCACUCAAGCCCUUUGUUGAUACUUAGCUGCACAAGGCAUCCCCGCUGUUUGAAGCAUAUAAGUCACACUUAAGUGCCUUUCAUGAGUAUUUAGGGAUUAGCCAAGUCCCAUAGACUGUGACCAGCAGUCUGACUCAUAUAGGUGUUUUCCUCAAAAGAUGUUCUGUAGGCCAACAUCUCAUCUGUAUAAGACUCUUGGAAUACAUUAAGAUAAAUACCAACCUGCCUUACAGAAGGAAAGUUGUACAUCAGAGAUAGGUUCAAAAGGAAACUUUCUUCUCAAUUUACUCAUAGCUUGUUUCACCACUCUACUUCACGGGAUCUCCGAUCACAUAGAGCAGGUUACCACUACAGUAGAUUAACUUGUUGGUCUCAUACCCAUCUCUCUCGAUUCACUUUCUAUCACAUUACGUGACAGUCCCUUAGUGAAUUGAUCUGCCAGAUUAUUCGAUGUAUAGACAUAGUCCACCGUUAUAACUCCGGAGGUUUUCAACUUUUUGACAGAUUUUAAUCGUCUCUUAACGUGCCUUGUAGACUUCAUGUUAUUCCUGGAACCGUUGACUUUAGUAAUCAUAGUUUAGUUGUCACAGUUCAUGGAUAUAGCCGGUAUCGGUUUUUCAACUACCAGUAAAUCCAUCAGGAGUUCACGAAGCCACUCGGCCUCAGCCCCAGCAGUGUCUAACGCUGUGAGUUCUGCUUCCAUUAUAGACUUUGUUAAGAUAGUUUGCUUGCAAGACUUGCAGGAAACAGCACCACCUCCAAGCAGGAACACAUAUCCGCUCGUCGCAUAAAGCUCAUCAACAUCAAAGAUCCAGUUGGCAUCACAAUACUUCCAGCACUCUAGGGUUUCUCGUAUAGUGAAUACCAUAGGACAUAGUCCCUUUCAGGUAGCGCAACACUCUCUCAAGAGCACGCCAGUGAUCAUCGCCCGGUUUUGACACAAACCAACUCAGCUUGCUCACAGCAUAUGAAAUAUCAGGUCUCGUUGCACUCGCAAGAUACAUAAGCGAGCCAAUGAUCUAGGAGUAUGUUAAUUGAUCCCUUACUAUUCUUUGAUUUUUCCUCAAUAGCGCACUAGGGUCAUAAGGCGUGGGAGUAGGAUCACAGUCACUAAACCCAAAGUGACUUAAUACAUUUUCCACAUAAUGGGAUUGUAACAAAGCUACCCCACCAUCACCUUCUCUGAUAAGCUUGAUGUUAAGAAUGACAUCAGCUUCUCCCAAAUUUUUCAUAUCGAAAUUACUCGAUAGAAGUUUCUUUACUUCCUCAAUCAUAUGGAGAUUACAUCCGAAGAUCAAAAUAUCAUCAACAUAAAGGCAUAGCAUAACAGCCUCAACCCCACCAUAUCGAUAAUACACACAAGUGUCAGCUUCAUUCACAACAAAGCCAGCAGCUAUAAGUGUACUAUCAAACUUUUCAUGCCAUUGCUUAGGUGCUUGCUUUAGGCCAUAUAAUUACUUUAACAGCCUACACACCUUGCUUUCUUGACCAUCCGCAAUGAACCCUUCUGGCUGAUCCAUAUAGAUCUCCUCAUCUAACUCUCCAUUAAGGAAAGCCGUCUUAACAUCCAUCUAUUGAAUGAUAAGACCGUAUGAAGCUGCCACGACAAUCAAAGUGCGAAUUGUAGUCAAUCGAGCGACCGGUGAAUAGGUGUCAAAGAAAUCUUCCCCCUCUUUCUGGGUAUAUCCUUUGGCCACCAGCCUUGCCUUGUACCUCUCAAUUGUACCAUCAGGCCUAAGCUUUUUCUUGAAGAUCCAUUUGCAGCCUAUAGGUUGAUAGCCAUAGAGACGGUCAAUGACCUCCCAUGUUCCAUUGGACAUAAUAGAUUCCAUCUCACUCCUUACUGCCUCCUUCCAUAAGUCGGCAUCAAGAGAGGAAUAUGCCUCAACAAUAGUGGUUGGCGUGUCUUCCACAAGGUACACUAUAAAGUCAUCACCAAAGGAUUUUGCAAUCCUCUGUCUCUUGCUCUUUCGAGUGACUAUAGUGUCAUCCGCCUUACGGAUGUGCAUGUGAGUCUCCUCAGCAUGAUCUAUAGGAAUAGACAAUUCUUGAUCAUAGGGUAUUAUAGUCUCAUGACUUGUUUUACUAGGUGUAUUUUUCAUGGGAAACUCAUUCUCAAAAAAUGUAGCAUCUCUCGAUUCCAUGAUAGUAUCAACAUAAAUAUCAGGCACAUCAAAUUUUAUAAUUAAGAACCUAUAUCCAACGUUGUGGAAAGCAUAACCAAGAAAAACACAAUCAACUGUUUUAGGUCCUAAUUUACGCUUCUUGUUGAUUGGCAUAUUCACAUUUGCCAAACAACCCCAGGUGUGUAAAUAUGAAAGAUUUAUUCUCUUCUUUUCCCAUUUCUCGAAUGGAGUGAUCUCUUUGUUUUUAGUAGGAACUGUGUUUAGGACAUGACACGCGGUCAAAAUUGCCUCACCCCACCAUUCCUUGGAUAAUCCCGUUGUAUUUAACAUGGCAUUCACCAACUCUGUUAAAGUGUGGUUUUUCCUUUCAGCAAUUCCAUUGGAUUGUGGUGAGAAUGGCAAUAUCCUCUCAUGAAUAAUACCGUGUUCCACACAAAAUUCAUCGAAAUCAUUUGAGAAAUAUUCUCCACCUCUAUCAGACCUUAAAUGUUUUAUUUUCCUCUCUAGUUGGUUUUCAACUUUAGCUUUAUAGGCCUUAAAAUAAUGGAGCGCUUCAUCCUUUGUUUUUAAGAGAUACACAUAGCAAAAUCUAGUGGAGUCAUCUAUAAAUGUGAUAAAGUAUCUUUUGCCGCCUUUAGUCAAAAUACCAUUCAUUUCGCACAAAUCGGAAUGAAUAAGUUCUAGAGGUGCCUAGUUCCUCGUCUCAGCAGCCUUAUGAGGCUUGUGGGGUUGUUUUGAUCAACGCAUACAUGGCACUUAGAUUUAUUGACCAAGUUAAAUUUAGGAAUUAAAUUCAGAUUCGCUAACCGCAUAAGACAGCCAUAACUUGCAUGACAAAACCGUGAAUGCCAUAAAUCCGACUCAUCAGAAAUAUCAACAGAAUUCACUAGUUUAUUACACACAUCAUGUAGAGAUAAGCGGAACAAAUCUCCGCAAUCAUAUCCUUUACCAACAAAGGAUACAUGUUUCGACACAACACAUUUCUUCGAUUCAAGGACAACUCUAUAACCAUCUUGACAUAGCAUAGAAGCACUAACAAGAUUUUUCUUGAUAGAGGGCACAUGCUGCAUGCUCUUCAAUGGCACUGUCAUCCCUGAAGUAAACUACAGAAUAACCGUACCAACACCAAGAACAUGAGCAUGCGACCCAUUUCCCAUCAACAAGGCGCCAGACCUCCAGACUUGGUAAGUGGCAAACAAGGAAACAUCAGCACACAUAGUAUAUUUGCACCACUAUCCAUCUACCACUCAGGUGAAUUACAAACUGAAAGAACAUAUGGCAAAAAUUACCAUACCCAGAUGUUCCUACAGUCUCAGUGGUUACAACAUUAACUGAUUUCUUCCCUUGGAAGAACUUGCGAUCUGGGCACUCACUUGCCCAGUGUUCCUCACUGCCACGAACAAAGCAGCCUCCCUUCUUCUUGCUAUUGUUGGUAGUUUUCUUGAAUUGAGUGGACUGAUUGGGCUUAUGGUUAUUCUCUUUCUUUUUCUGGUUUUUCUUCUUGUUAAACUUGUGGAAUUUCUUCUACACCACAUUGGCAGUAGAAGGCUCAACACCUUUCCCAUUAUCUUUUGCUCUCGCCCUCUCCUCAACAUCAAGAGUACCAAUGAGUUCCUCAACAUUGAACUCUUGCCUCUUGUGUUUGAAAGAAUUAGCAAAUUCCUUCCAAGAAGGUGGUAACUUGGCGAUAAUACCGCCGGCCACAAACUUGUCAGGCAGUGGACAAGGGAAAAGUUCAAGUUCCUUAGCCAGUUGAAAGCCCUAGUUUGGUUUUGGAUAAUUGAUGAAAUCCUAGUACUAACCUCUAUACUAAGUGUGUGUAGACUUAAUGAGGUUGGUACAUGCCAAGUGAUGGAGCAAGUGAUGAUCAUGGUGAUGAUGGUGAUGACCACAAGAUGAUCAAGUGCUCAACUUGGAAAAGAAGAAAGAGAAAAACAAAACCCUAUGGAGAUCAAGGCAAAGGUAUUGCUUAGGGUUUUGGUUUUGGUGAUCAACACACCAUAGAGGGUGUGAUCACAUUUAGGAUAGAUAGCCGUACUAUAAAGAGGGGAAUUCUUUGGCUAAGCGGUUAUCGAGUGCCACUAGGUGUCAUUGUUCAUGUGCAUGCAUUUAGAACCUAGUGAGCUAACUUAACUCCUUCAAAGAAAAUGUUUGUGAAAAUGCUAACACACGUGCACAUGUUGGUUCACACGUUGUGGUGUUGGCACACUUUGAGAAGGAGGUGGAGUUUGAAGGGUAGAGAGAGGAUGGGUUCAUAUUCCGCGCUUUUCAAGAAAAUGAAGUGCAUAUUUUCUAUUGCGCCGGUGGGAAAUUUGGAGAAGUCGCGGGAGUGUUUCUCGCUGAGGGACACUCACCGGACGCUGGCUCAGAGGCACCGGACGCUGUGUCUGAGCGUCCGGUGUGCAGGCUGCCUGGCUCAGCUAGGGUUAGGCACCGGACGCUAGGCACCGGACGCAAGCUGGAGCGUCCGGUGGUCUGAGUCCGGUGUCCGCGCGUUUUGCAAAACUCUCUGGGUGUGAGUCCGGUGAGCACCGGACGCUCUGGGUGCGUCCGGUGGCUUGCGUCCGGUGACCCUGCGAGUUUGCGGAGCUCUCUGCGCAUGAGUCCGGUGUGCACCGGACGCGUCCGAUGCCAACCUGCUCAGCGUCCGGUGCUCUGCAGGUUACCGUUAGACUCUGACACGCGGCUGACGUUGGAGCACCGGACGCUGGUGUCGAGCGUCCGGUGCCCCUUUAAGAGCGUCCGGUGACCCCGUAUUUCGCCCAGUGAAAGAGCCAACGGCUCUAUUUGUUUGAGGGGCUAUAAAUACGUGUUUGACCGGCUUGGGGCUGACACUCUUGGCAUUCUUGACUACUAGACAUCCUUGUGAGCCUAAGCAAACACCUCCCACUCAUCUCCUUCAUAGAUUAAACGUCUUUGUGAGAUUGGGAGUGAUUCCAAGUGCAUUUGCUUGAGUGAUUGCAUCUAGUGGCACUUGGGGAUCGAUUUGGCUGUGGUUUUCUUGUUACUCUUGGUGGUUGCCGCCACCUAGACGGCUUGGAGCAGCGGAGGAGGAUUGGCACGAGUUGGUGAUUGUUCGUGGCCAUCUCCCGGUGAUUGUGAGAGGUUUGUGCCUACCUCGGCGGAGUGCCAAAGGCAACAUUAGUGGAUUGCUCGUGUCAUUGAGUUACCUCACUUGUGGGUAGGUUCUUGUGGUGUCCUAGUGAGGACGAGGUUCGUGCUACACCUCUUAGCCACCGAACCACCAAGUGUUGGUCGACACAACGGGGACGUAGCGUGUCGGCAAGCACGUGAACCUCGGGAGAAAAAUCGGUGUCUCAAUUGUGUUUGAUUGGCAUUCUCCCGGUGCUUGAUUGUUUAUAUUGAUGAUUGGUUCAUUCCCUACACGGCGGUAUAAAUAUCUCAUCUUAUCUUUACUUACCGCAAACUAGUGUAAUUAGUUUAGUUGCUUACUUUGACUUGUGUAGCUUAGUUCUCUAGUGUAACUUGUAGAGACUUAGUUCUUGUGUGCCUAGAGAUUAUAUCAACUAGAAUUGUUGGAUAGGUGGCUUGCAAACAUCCCUUUUAGAGCUAGAGCAAAAAGCUUCGCUUUGUUAUUUACUAAUCUCUUGCUCUAGUGUUUUUGUAGAUUUUUAAAUAGGCUAUUCACCCCCCUCUAGCCAUAUUAGGACCUUUCACCAGUGCCUGAAUCUCAUGAGCUUGUUCCACUACAGAACGGUUCUCAACCAUCUUGUAGUCAUACAACUGCUCUAUAAGAUACAGCUCAGUACCAGCGUCAGUAACUCCAAACUUAGCCGCAAGAGCAUCCCAUAAUUCUUUCCCGCUUGGAAGAAUUAUGUAGCUUUUCUGGAAUUUUAGAUCAAGUGCGCUAAUCACUGUACCUCGAAAGAGGUUGUCAUCAGCAUUAAACUUAGCCUCAUCCGCAGGAGGUAAAUUAUUAGGCUUGCCCACAACGGCAUGAUAACAUGACAUAGCAGUUAGCCACAAUUCCAUCUUAGCUUUCCAAAUCAAGAAGUUUUUACCAUCAAAAGAAUCAGGCUUUAGCACAGCAACAAAACCUCUGACAGAAAAUAGCCUAUAAUUAGGUUUUUGGAUUGUUAGAUUAUUAGGCAAUUUUUAUGUCAUUUUAAUUCCAUAAAUUAACAAUAUGAUGAUUACAUAUAUGAUAUUAUUGAUAAAUAUAAGCAUGACAUGAAUCAUCAUUACGACAUAUAAACAUGAUCCAUAAAGCAUAUCAAACAUCAAAACAUGGCAUGGUAUAUAACUCUCUGUAAUAGUACCAAACAUAAUAUAGCAAUCAAAACAAAUAAACAGAUGUACUGAAACAGGCAAGCAGAUACUAGCAAAACAAUAGAACUGUAGAACAGAGGCAUAUACGCAAAACUUAAACAUAAUAGGAACAGACAACAAAUAUCUUCCGAAACAACUAAACAGACUUAUGGAAAUAGGUAUGACACAACUACUCUGAAACAAAUAGAAACAGAGCGACGUAAAACUGAGGGAAGACGAAUAGAUCAUACCCUGAGACUCGCGCAUUCAGAUUUCCAGAACCUUGUCCUUCCUCGAUCGCCAUAGUGUAGAGACGAAGGUGAAGAUGACGAACCAAUCACCGGGAAGGAGAAGACGGUGACCGGCAACACCAAGAGACCUCCGGGAAGAAGAUGAAUAGCAGCAAUGGAGUUGGGUAGUCGCAUAGACGCUCCCCAAAAACCUAAUUGCCGAUCCCCCGUUGUAAGGUCUCGAACGGCAAGGGAUCCGGAGGCACCUGCUCUCUCGCUCCUCCGUGCGUGCGGAGUUACGAGAUGGUAAUUCUAACUUUGCAACGAAACUGUGAUCUGAGUGUUCUCUAUUCUUGUACCAAAGAGAUGAGAGUCUCCUGUUUAUCCUUGUGGCUUGAGAGGAGAGGAGGGGAAGGGACUCCCUGUUGGCGGUUGAGGAGACGGGCAUCUGAAGGGUUUUCACGCGGAGUUAAAACUCCCUCAAUUACUUAUCGAAACACCCGCAAAUAAUGAGUUGAAACUCCCACAUAAUUGAGUUGAAACUCCCAUACCGUUAGCCUACCACUUCAACUCUUGGACUUUCAAUUUGGUACAAUAUAUAUUAUCCAUAAUUACACACCAUAGAGUUUAUUGAUUUAUUAAAUCUAAAUGGGUCUAGCCCAUACUAAAUCCAACAUUUCAUGUGUGGCAGUAGUGUGCGUUGCCGCUGGACAUUCGCAUGGGCUUCUCCACUCUAUCACCAUGAAAUCUCUCUCUCUCUCUCUCUAUUUCUGAGAUUGUGCAAUGCCGAAGGGUGCUAUGUGUUGGGGCUUCCAAGCGUCGCCUUUCCGUCAGUUUUAGUCUCCUCCACUAGAUACCAUACAACUGUAGAGCGUCUACCGUCUUUCCAAAAAAAUUUAAGAUUCUUCGUCACAUCGAAUCUUUGGACGCAUGCAUGGAAUAUUAAAUAUACAUGAAAAUAAAAACUAAUUGCAUAGUUUACCUAUAAUUUGUGAGACGAAUCUUUUAAGCCUAGUUGAUCGAUAAUUGGACAAUAAUUAUCAAAUACAAAUAAAAGUACUAUAUUAGCCAAAACCAAAAAAAAUCACAAACUAAACUAGACCUAAGCAACAGCCAAAGCCACACAUUCCUCUAUGAUCUUUUUCUUCUUCUUUGGAGCGAGUCGAGGCUCCUCAUCCUCGAUCAGAAAAGUCGGCGACCUUUCGUCGCGUAACAGGCAUAUGCACGGUCUAUCUCCAUCGGAAUAAAGCGAUGGAUUCUGGUUUGCUUCUGUUGGCACGUAGGAGUAUAUAUCUUUAGAUUUCUCCAGAUAACCGGCCUUGCUUUACCGGCGCGGCGAAAGGAGGACAGCCCAUAUCCUGCCGGAUAUGCUCUUUCUGGCAUGAAAUAAGUAGGUGACGCCGCAGUUCCUCUCCUCACCAACAACCCCCAAAACGGCAUGGUAUGCAUGCCUACCUUUGGUAUCGAUCUCACCUAUCCUUGAAGCAAUGAAGCAUGUGUUUAUGGAAAUGUGGAGGUCCAUUGCAGGGCAACCCUCCGUUGGCAGGUGCGACCUACACCCUACCCUGCCAAAGGGGAUUUGCCCGGCGAUGCGCCUGCACACACACACACACAUUUGCCACCUGCAGGCAGCAGCAGCUCAAGGUAGAAGAAGGGGCAAAUUUUUAUAAUUUAAUCAUUUUUUAAUAAAUAUUUUAAUAAUAAUCCUUCCAAAAAAUAUUUUGCAUCAGAUAGCUCCACUGGCACGACCAAGUAAUAGUCACGAAACAUGCGUUGGCGUGGCAAGAUACGACACAUUUGACGGUAUUUUCGACGUGAAAAAGCUUGUCACACCACUUCCAUUGGCGUGACGGUAUUGUCUUAUCGCGCGCUCGGUGAGUGGCGUGACAAGAUCAAACUUUUAAAAAAUUAUAACUCUUUAAUACGACGUCGUAUGAAAAUAUGUUUUUAUAAAAAAAUUGUAGAAACCCAAUAUUUUCUGGAACAUGUGAUGCAUAUGAUGAUUAAUAUUAAAAUAUUUAUUAAAAAAGAUUAAAGUAUUAAAAAAAUCUAAGAAGACCACGGUGCUACACCCGGCCUGCUACAUUCGGCCUUUCUUCGGCCCAUCAGACAGAAGCCCAAAUAUUCGGCUUGGGUUGAACAAAGCGCAAAACCCAUCACAUGGUCCCAAAAGCCCAAAAAGGCCAAUGAAAAGCCUAUCCCAGCUCCCACCACCACCCCACCUAGGGUUUCUCCCUUUUAACCUCGCGCCGCCACCCCCUUCGUCUCUCGACGCCCAUCUCCUCCUCAAGCCGCCGCCGCCGCCGCCGAAGGAGAAGGAGGAGAAGAGGAUCCGGCCGUCUCAUCGCCCCAAUGGUACCGCCCCCAUUCCAUCCUCGUGCUCCCAUUCUCAUUUUCCCAUCUUCCUCUUCGUCUUCCUCUUGCUGCCUGUGGUAUGUGAGGCUAACUCGCUUGGCGUCCCGCAGGCGUCCGAGAAGAAGCAGUCGAACCCGAUGCGGGAGAUCAAGGUGCAGAAGCUCGUCCUCAACAUCUCCGUAGGGGAGAGCGGCGACCGCCUCACCCGCGCCGCCAAGGUGCUCGAGCAGCUCAGCGGCCAGACCCCUGUCUUCUCCAAGGGUAAGUGUGCUGAGGUCUUUCGGCUCCGUUUCAUUGCCUUUCGCUGACGGGGUGCGUCCUUUUGCUCGGUCUUGCAGCGAGGUACACGGUGCGGUCGUUCGGCAUCCGGCGUAACGAGAAGAUCGCCUGCUACGUCACUGUCAGGGGCGAGAAGGCUAUGCAGCUGCUUGAGAGCGGCCUCAAGGUCAAGGAGUACGAGCUGCUCAGGAGGAACUUCAGCGACACCGGGUGCUUCGGAUUCGGCAUCCAGGAGCACAUCGACCUUGGUAUCAAGUAUGGCUCCGUCUUACUUUACGAGAAUCUUUGCUACGAUUCAGGCCAUAUGUUGUGCCAGUGCAUACAUUCUUGCUUUUGCGAUGUCAACUGGUUCCGAGGUUAUGGGUUGCUGUGGUUGUUAGAAGCUUCAAAAUUUCGGUCCUCUAUUUCCAUGUGGUGAGGCUACCAGUGAUAAAUCCGAUGCUAGUAAAUCCUUGGCUUGUUUUCUACUAUCUUAGUCCAUUAGCUCCAAGCCCAGUAGUUGUUUUUGAACAUGACUGAUGCUUUAGUUCACUAUGAGCAUGUUUUUAAAAUUGAUUAAAACUUUGUUUUAGGUGUUUGUUGUUUAAGACUGAGGUCCAGAAAUCACAACUCAUUCUGCAGUUAUUGCACAGUUAAUUGCCAUACUAGUGGAUAAUAUUUUUCUUCUGUCAGUGCAAUGCUAGUUCAGUGGAAGUUUACAGUUUAGUCUGUGGCUCUGUGCAUUGUUGGUACAAUCCAGUUCUUGAAUUUUGUCGUCUGUGCAGAGUUUAUCUGGUUUUGCAUAUUUACAUAUAGUGUUUGUUCCUACUGUUGAGACUGAAAUGUGCUCCGUAUAUAUAUAAUUUAAAUUGCCUGUUUAUCCUGUUGUUUCCGUUUUCGUCUGUUGAGGUCAUGUUUAGUUCCCAACUCAAAAAGUUCACUAUCACAUCGAAUGUUUGGACGCAUGCAUGGAAUAUUAAAUAUAGAUAAAAAAAUAAACUAAUUACACAGUUUAGUUAGAAAUCACGAGACGAAUCUUUUAAGCCUAGAUUAGCCUUAAGUGCUACACUAACCUACAUGUGCUAAUGAUAGAUUAAUUAGGCUUAAUAAAUUUGUCUCGCAGUUUCCAGCCGAGUUAUGUAAUUAGUUUUUUUAUUAGUAUUCGAACACCUCUUCCGACUUCCUACGAACCACAUCUGAUGUGACACCCAAAAAAAUUUUUCCCUCUCCUUGUUACUAGUAUUUGACGCAUUUAAUGACCUGAAAUAUUAGCUGUGUUAGCUGUGCAUUGCUAACAUGAGUUAAGCUAUACUGCUAUACCUUGUCAAUUUUUAAUUAGCCACACACAAAUGCAAAUUUUAAAUCUGUUGGCAGAGGCGCAUAGCUUUCAACAUGUUCUCUUUUCAGUUUUAUGUAUUCUCUCCAGAGGCACUGAGGCAUGUCUUAUGUAUUGUGCAGGUAUGAUCCAUCAACAGGCAUCUAUGGAAUGGACUUCUAUGUCGUGCUCGAGCGUGCUGGCUACCGAGUUGCACGCCGCAGGAGGUGCAAGGCCCGUGUUGGGAUCCAGCACAGGGUGACCAAGGAGGACUCGAUGAAGUGGUUCCAGGUCAAGUACGAAGGUGUCAUCCUCAACAAGGCUCAGGCCAACACGGUGUAAACCUUAGUUUGUCUAAGCUCCAUGCAGACGCAAGAUGUUUUAGUCUACUAUAGCAGAGCUAUAAACUGCCGAAUGAAUUAUUUCAGUGCCCGUAUCAUACUCUGUGCUGUUGCUUAAAAACAUGCUAGUCUGAUCUCCUAGCGCAGCUUGUGAUCUGGCUCUUCUUUGGUUACAUUGCUUUAUCUGCCGCCUGCGUUUUGUGUUUUUGUUGACGAAUUACUGUCACCUGGUCUGGAAAAUUGAAGCGGACUAAGGGAAGGUUUCUAUUGUUUGUAAUGGGUAUCAGCAAGCAUUUGUGUACUGUGGUCUGGUUUAGAUCAAAUUUUUUUUGGAUUUUGACAUUGUAGUAUUUUUGUUUGUAUUUGGCAAUUAUUGUCUAACGACUAAUUAGUCAUAAAAGAUUCAUCUCGUAAAUUAUAGACAAAUUGUAUAAUUAGUUUUUUUUUAUUUAUAUUUAAUGUUUUAUGCAUGAGCUGCAAUAUUUGAUGGAUGGGAAAUUUUGAAAAGUUUCUUCAAAAUUUACACGGAGCAUUAAAUGUUAAAAAAUAACUAAUUAUACAGUUUAUCUAUAAUUUAUAAGAUGAAUUUUUUGAGUAGUUAGUUGAUUGGACAAUAAUUAUCCAUUACAAAUGAAAGUGUUAUAUAGCCAAAAACAAAGAAAAAUUGCCAACUAAACAAGGCCUGAUUGUGGUCUCUACAGAAUAUCUUCGAAAGGGUGGGAAAAUUCCAUUGGUGAACGCAAGUUCCUGUCAACUGUCAUCAAUACGUCCGUACGAAACAAGGGCAUUUUCUUAAAAAUUAUACGCUGAUAUUCUUUCAACACAGCUGAGGCAUUGUUCAGAUCACCCUAAAAAUCAAAAACUUUUUAAGAUUUUCCGUCACAUUGAAUCUCGUGGUAUACGCAUAGAGCAUUAAAUAUAGAUAAAAAUAAAAACUAAUUACACAGUUUACUUGUAAAUCAUGAUACAAAUCUUUUAAGCCUAGUUAUUCAAUGAUCGGACAAUGUUUGUUAAAUAAAAACGAAAAUACUACAGUGUCAAAAUAAAAAACUUUUUGACACAGUUAAUCCGUAAUGCGUUCGGCUCUUGCUUCUGUUUUUGUUGUCACAUCGCAUCAAUCUUUAAAUGAUGUAUGGAGUAUUAAAUAUAGAUAAAAAAUAACUAAUUGUACAAUUUAUAUGUAAUUUGUGAGACGAAUUUUUUGAGUUUAAUUAAUCUAUAAUUAGACACUAAUUGCUAAAUAAAAUGAAAAUAUUAUGGUAGUCAAAUUCAAAAAAAAUUGCGAACUAAACGAGACCUGAUUUCACCCUUUCUUCGCUAGACAAACCAAUGCACCAUACAUGGCUGCAGAACGCCCGUCAGCUGCCAACGUUUCCAUGAACACAAGCCCUCAUCUUCAUCUCAACAAUGUAACCCAACUCGUUACCCUUAGGGCCUGUUUAGUUUCCCACCCAAAAAAUUUUCAUAAAUCCCAUCGAAUCUUUGGACACAUGGAUAGAACAUUAAAUUUAGAUAAAAAAAUAAACUAAUUAUACAGUUUGGUUUAAAAUCGCAAGAUGAAUCUUUCAAGCCUAGUUAGUCUAUGAUUAGCCUUAAGUGCUACAGUAACCCACAUGUACUAAUGACAGAUUAAUUAUGCUUAAUAGAUUUGUCUUGCAGUUUCCAGACGAGCUAUGUAAUUUAUUUUUUUAUUAGUUGCUAAAAACCUCUCCCGACAUCCUUCCGACACAUUCGAUGUGACACACAAAAAUUUUUCAUCUCCAAUCUAAACAGUCUCUUACCCAUAACCUGAUACACCUGUGGCCCUCGGGAUGGGGAGUUAGGCCUUGUUUAGUUCCAGUUUUUUUUGCAAAAUAGACACUGUAGUAAUUUCGUUUGUAUUUGAUAAAUAUUAUCUAAUCAUCGACUAACUAGGCUCAAAAAAUUUGUUUCGCAAAUUAUAGACAAAUUGUGCAAUUAGUUAUUAUUUUUAUCUAUAUUUAAUUCUCUAUGCCUGCACGGUAAGAUUUGAUGUGAUGGUGAAUCUGAAUUUUUGUGUAAAAUAUUUUGGGAACUAAAUAAGGCCUGAAUUACUCUUGAGCACUCUUUGAUCAGUUCUGCUCUUUCACACCGGAAAUUCGAGCACUUCUUGUGGUAGGAAACGCCACCUGUGACACUGAGCUAAACGUUGAAAGCUGGUGGUACCUGAAAACGACGGCGCAACGGCGACCCUUCUUCUCUGACGCCAUUUUCCCUCACUCCUUCCGACCUUCCCACCUGCUGCCGCGAGUGCAUCUCCCGUGCUAAGCUAGCUUCGCCGGUGGCCGACACCAUACCCACCGCCACGCUACUCCGUCCCAGCUCACUAGAGCUGCCAAUCUGGAGAGCCUCUGCCUCCAUCGAUUGUUUUAUGCCUGGGUUCCAGUGCAAAUUAUGCCAAAAUUGCCGUAUUCCAAAGAACAGAAAAGUGAGAAAAUCUUUCACCGAAAGAGCAGAGUAGGUGUAUAGGUAGAAGAGAAGAGAGCGAGGCCAGGAGCAAGGCAUGACGAGCAAGACGAUGGCGGUGGUGCGACCAAGAUCGGCGGCGCACCUCUCUCUCCUCUUCCUGCUCCUCCUCGCCCCGCCUUGUUCCCCGCAGGAGCAAGACGACGGCGGCGGCGGCGUCGCCCUCCACGGGAGCUUCGUCCGCUGCGUCGCGCGCCUCUCGCCGGCGACCACCGACCCGUCCCGGCUCGUCCACGCACCGUCGGCGGCGUCCUACACUUCCCUGCUCAACGCCACCAUCCAGAACCUCCGCUUCGCCUCCCCACGGACGCCGCGGCCGGCGCUGCUCCUGACACCGGCGACCGUCGCCGAGGUGCGGGCCUGCGUCGCCUGCUGCCGGCGCCAGGGCCUCACGGUCCGCGCCCGCAGCGGCGGCCACGACUACGAGGGCCUCUCCUACCGCUCGGUCCUCCAGAGCGCUGGCACCGCCCGCCCCUUCGCCGUGGUCGACGUCGCCGCGCUGCGCGAUGUCCGCGUCGAUGCCGCGCGCCGCGUGGCGACGGUCGGGCCGGGCGCCACGCUCGGGGAGCUCUACUACGCAGUGGCGCGAGACAGCGGCGGGGCGCUGGGGUUCCCCGCGGGGAUCUGCCCCACGGUCUGUGUGGGCGGCCACCUCAGCGGCGGCGGGUUCGGCCCCAUGAUGCGGAAGCACGGGCUGGGCGCGGACAACGUGGUGGACGCCGAGGUGGUGGACGCCGACGGGAGGCUCCUGGACCGCGCGGCCAUGGGCGAGGGCCACUUCUGGGCGAUCCGCGGCGGUGGGGGCGGGAGCUUUGGCGUGGUGGUUUCCUGGACGGUGCGGCUGGUCCCCGUGCCGCGCGUCGUCUCCGCCUUCACCGUGCGCCGCCUGGUCCGCCGCGGGGACCGACGGCAGACCCAGGCGACGGUCCGGCUGCUGGCCAAGUGGCAGCGCGUGGCGCACGCGCUCCCCGACGACCUGUUCGUGAAGGCGGCCAUGGAGCCGGAGCUCGACGACGCCGGCGAGAGGCACCCGCUGGUGACCUUCAAGUCGCUGUUCCUCGGCGGCAACUGCAGCGGGAUGGUGGCGGAGAUGAGCGCCCACCUACCGGAGCUCGGCGUCACGGCGAGCGACUGCAGAGACAUGAGCUGGAUCCAGUCAAUGCUCUACUUCUACGGGUACACGAGCGGGCAGACCGCCGCGGAGGUGCUCCUUGACCGGAGCCUGCAGCCCAAGGACUACUACAAGGUCAAGCUGGACUACGUGACGACCCCGAUCCCGGCGGCCGGGCUGGCGGGGCUCCUCGCCAGGGUGGUGGAGGACAGGGGCGGGUCCAUCGACGUGGACCCACAGGGUGGCGCCAUGAGCGCGACACCGGAGUCGGACACGCCGUACGCGCACCGGCGAGGGUACCUAUACAACGUGCAGUACUUCGUCAAGUGGGGCGGCGACGCCAACGUGUCGUACGAGGACGCGCACCUCGGGUGGGUGCGGGGCGUGCACCGGUGGAUGACGCCGUACGCGAGCGCGAGUCCCCGGGCGGCGUACGUCAACUUCAGGGACCUGGACCUAGGGCAGAACGUGGAUGGGAAGACGACCUACGAGGCCGCCAGGGCGUGGGGGGAGAUGUACUUCAGGGGCAACUUCAGGAGGCUGGCCAUGGUGAAGGCCGAGGUGGAUCCUGACCAGGUGUUCUGGAGUGAGCAGAGCAUCCCUCCCCUGUUUGAGGUUGGGGAGGAGACAGGGGAAUGGCACAGUCAGAGUGGGUUGUUUUCAGACAGUUGAUGAGUGAGCUUCUCUUUUCUCGGCUGCAAAUACCGUUUCUUGAUUUAUCAUGAAAGAAAAACAUCGUUGAAUGGUUGACAGAUUCGGCAAUAGAAUGUGAUGUACCUGCCCCAAGUGUCAAUAGCCAAUGGUGCAAUAGAACGACACAGUGAUAUAUGAAUCAUAUAUUCAUGAAUUACGAAAGGCGACAGGGUGAUUUCUAAAUUCUGCAUGACAUCUUGUUGCUAGUUUCAGCAUUUUCUGUGUGGCAUUGCUGAAAUUGGGAGGCAAAGGAGUAUUGACGCCCAUGCUAUGUACAAAACCAGCACUGAAACUGCAUGGCCUCAACUGAAGAUGCAGUGGAGGUUGACAUAGAAAACCAGCUCGGCUUUGCCGCGCCCUCCGUGGAGUGGGUCAGCCUGUUUUUACAGAUUUUGUUACUCCUCUUUCUCUAUAUCUUCUCUACUUUUCACAAUAUCUUCUUUGGAAGAUGUAUUAAUACUGAUAAAUAGAGGAGAUAAUUUUGCCUGUAAAACAGUGAUAAUAUUGAGAUAUGGUAAAACUUCUCUUUGCUAACAUCUUGAGAACAAAUGUGUAUUUCCAUUUUCUGCCCAAUCAAAUGUUCUUUUAGGAGGCCUACAACCUGUCAUAGAUUUCACUUAAUUUGUGGAUAGGUUUUUUAAUAAGCUAGGGGGUAUAGCUUGUAUCUAUAUGUUAUGAAUAAUAAACAGAUAUUAAAUUGAUUUUGUCUCCAAUUUAGUUCUGUUUUUUGAGAGAGGUCCUUGGAAUCAUUAGAGAGGUCUCAAGCUAACAUAAACAUGGACAACUUUAGCACGAGUGCUAGAACUUUAUUGGGAUCAUACCAUUACCAUCCAGAGUGCAGCAUCAUUUCUUCUUGGAAGUCUAUUACUACAGCAUGGGAGAUAUGGAGACAAAGAAACCCGACGAACUCUAAUACACAGGAGAUCUGUGUAUCAAGAAGAAAAGGAUAUAGAACCCAACAUCACACAACCCCACGACACGGACAGAUCACACACAAAAAGAAAAGGAAAAUGAACUCGCUAAAGACUGCAAGCACCAAACAACCUUAGCCAGCAAACUAACUAACGCUGGACCUAAAGGCGAGGAGAUGUGAAACCCCUCGAGCCACAGCUAAACACUAGAAAUGUAGUGCCUUCCUAAUGAACUCUAAAACUCCAUUCAAACUAGGCCAGGUCCCAUCAAACACGUAUGGAUUGUGGAGAUUCCAGAUUGCCCAUGUUUGAAGGAUGAUAAUGGAGUUGUUACCACCAACUGUUGUUUGAAACAUUCUAAACUGAUAAAAAGGUUCAACCUAGGUGUCAACGCUAAGUGAUCCUACCUGUCUUUAGUCAGUUACCCGUACAAGAGAGAUCAACAAACUAAUGUGCCUCCCAUUUUCUAAGUAGGUCAUCAUAGAUGUCUCCUUUCUUAAUUUUCUGCAGGCACCGCUUCAGCUUGGACAGUGUCGAUGAACUCAACUUGAUACCCUGAUCAACCAUGUCUUCUGCAUACUUGCAUGCCUCAGGUAGCCUGUCAUCCUUCAGCUUUGACACAACACACAAGCAUGUUCCCACACUCCUCUAAAGGUGGCAAGCCAUUCUGCACCAUGCAGCUCCAGACUCUGAUCCUAGUUGUUGACGGUCCUUAAGUACCAAAUAUAAUCAUCAAAUAAAUAAAGAAAAUGAUCCAAAUGCAACCAACACCUAGACUUAGGGUUUUAUCUGACAGAAUUCCACGAGUUUUGAUGUUUGUCUAUUAAUGCAGGGGGUUAUCAAGAAAUACGAAAGAAAGGCCCACAUGUCGGGAUUACAUAGAGAUAUCAACGCACCGCGUAAUUUUCUACCAUCUAGAAGACUCCAGAAGCCACGGGAAGAAAGCAGAGGCCGAAAGGGGCCAGGCCCAGGGCGCCCGCCCUCUUUCCCUGGGCGCCCGCCCUGUCCUGGACUCCGUUCGGGACUCUCUUCGCACACGAUGUUCCACCGACCUAAAGGAUCAAGGAUAACGUAGUACCACAUCGCCUACCGACCCAAAAACGCAUAGAGGAGGAGGACUAUAUAAGGAGACCCCCCUGGCCCCUGGAGAAGACAAGAAGUUAUCAUAGAGAUUGAGGGGUGCCCUCGAAGGAAAACCUCUUCUCUAAAUAAUAUUUCUUUUUAGGCUUAGCAACCAAUGUAAGUAGAAAUAGAUCUUCUAGUUUCUACUAGAUUGAGAGAGAUAGAGUGGAGGUGUACAUCGGAGGAAGGCCGGCCUGUCGGUGUCUACUCCGAGUUGUACCUGCGGGAUCAAGUCUUCUAACCCGAGGCUUGCUCCUAAGAUUCUUCAGUAAUUCGACUUCUAAAUUCUAGUAAGUUCUUGUUUUAUUGUUCUUUGGUUUAUGGGUUUACUUUAAUCCUCUUCCGGUUGAGUAUUAGAGUAAUCAUUGCUAGCGUAAACAUGAUGUUUAGGCUAGGGUACUCAUAGAUAUCCCCUGACUAGCUGGACCGUGGUAGUAGCGAGGAACGUGACAUUUCCGAGUUACCUUUGUAUCCCAUAUCUUGUUAGCAGGAGGCCCUCCCCCAAUCGCGAGACGCCUUCCCCAAAUUACCUGUCGCUUCCUCCCUCAAACGCUCACCUUCUCGCCAAGGUCGCCCCCACGCUGUCGUUUGCGAUCCUGCCAUCAUCCUAGAUCGCCACAUCGAUGAUAGCUAGGACCUGCUCCGUUGUCGAUCACAGCGAUCGCGACGUCCACGCCCCGCCCGCCGGCAGCCAGUCGACGUGCGGCCACCGCAAAUCGUCGGUUAGCCAGCCCGGCGCCGCCGACCACAGAUUGUUUCCCCGCUAGCGCCGCUUAGGUCAUAGUGAUUGGGAUCGCGCGUGUGGCUGCAUCAUUGUGAUUGUGUGCAGUUCUCACUUGGUGUACCCCUCCAGAUCAGAUCGCCUUGGCAUCAUCUGGAGUUGGGAGCGAGAAAACCGGGGGUGGUUCGGCUGCGGGUGGCGGCGGCGGUGACAAAUCAACCGUGGCUGAUCUCCUUAUGCGCCUGAAUCUUACCGAAGGUGAAGAAGUGAUUGCAGACUUCAGUGACGAUGAGGGGGACGAGAACCCGCAGCCAAUGAACUGGGCGGUGGUCGGCAAGGUCCUCUUGCCGUCAAUUGUGCAUGUGAACACAGUCCGGGGGGCUAUGAAGCCGGCAUGGGGUAAUCCGUGGGGGCUCAAAAUCCGGGCUUUUGGAGAAAAGAUUGACAACUUGUUCGUUGCCGAAUUCGGCGGCAAGAUGGAUAUGGAGAGGAUCCUUGCUGGCUCGCCAUGGAUGGUGGGUCGACAUGCAGUGAUCUUGAAACAGUAUGAUGAAAGGCUUAGCGCUUCAGAGAUAGUCUUUGACCGUAUGGAGAUCUGGGUAAGAAUUCUAAACCUUCCCUUGGGAUGGAUGAACCUGCAGAGAGGUAAUAGGGCGAUGGGUUUGAUUGGAAAUGUGAUCAAAAUGGAUGUUGAUAGGGAUGGCAAAGCUAGUGGAGCCUUUCUACGUGCUCGCUUGGCAAUUGAGAUUGAUAAACCUCUGAGGAGAGGAGUUUUGCUGCGUAUGAGUAGAUCGGAGGAACCGAAAUGGUUUGCAGUUCAAUAUGAACGGCUGCCUUUCUUCUGUUUCGCGUGUGGGAUCAUGGGACAUUCUGAGAUUGAAUGCCCUAACCCUGUUCCACGCAAUGAGUAUGGUAAGCUGCCUUUUGAUGUUCAGUUACGUGCACCAGAAGAGAAGAGGAGGAAGGUGCAAUCUUUUGCCGAAGCUGCAGCUGCGUCCCAGAGCAGCGGCUCGUCGAUGGGUUCACGGCCUCCACGUGGGAAGGGGAAGAGCCAAAUGGAUGGAAGAUCUGACCACUCCUCCUCGGAAACCAAUCAUGUAGCUGAUGAUACAGAGGUGCAGUCUCCUCUAAAGGAACCUCCAAAGUCUAACUCAAAGGAGAAAGGGGUUUUGCCUGGAGUCAACCGAAAACUUGAUCUCAUGGAGAUCCAACAGGUGCGAAAGAGGAAGUCCAAGCCCACUCAAGCGAGUUUGCAAACACCAGACCUGAAUGUGCCGGUGAAUAAUACCAGUGCCAUCGUGCCAGUUGGACUGGUUAUUUCAAGGGUCAGUCAACUGGAUGGGGACACUGAAAGCAGCGGUGGUAGUCUGGAGGAGACGGUUAAGAAACAAAAGCGGGGCGGUAGCUCCAACAUUGCAAGAUCGGCGACGGCUGCGGGCAGCAGUCCUCGCCGGGCACAAUGAAACUCUUAAGUAUGAACUGCCGGGGCCUGGGGCGGUCCGAGGCAGUUCAAGAAGUUCGUAGCCUCACCCAGUUGCACCGCCCGGUGGUGGUGUUCCUGUCAGAAACGAGAUUGUUCAGUAAUAAUGUGGAAGGCUUGAAAAGGAGUCUAGGCUAUAGGAAUGGCCUUGGCGUUGGUAGCUUCGGGCGAGGUGGAGGACUGGCUCUCCUCUGGUCGCAUGAGAUUCAAGUGCGCUUGCUUUCGUAUGAUAAACUUCAUAUUGAUGUAGUAGUGGUUGAUCCAACCACUGGUUCCGAUCUAUGGAGGUUCACGGGCUUCUAUGGAGAAGCUCGGAGGGAACGCAGGCACCGAAGCUGGGAUCUAUUAAAGUAUUUGAGCACCCAGAGUGAUGUCCCGUGGAUGUGCACGGGGGAUUUCAAUGAAAUUCUGGAUGCUCGAGAACAGUUUGGCGGGGUGACUAGACCAGAGCGACAGAUGAAUGGUUUCCGUGAUGCGGUAGGUGUAUGCGGCUUUACGGAUCUCGGCUACUUGGGAUUACCCUACACCUGGGACAACAGACAGCAAGGAGAUCAGAAUAUAAAGGUGCGGCUAGACCGGGCCUUUGCUAACUCCAGCUUUACUGAUAUGUUCAAAGACAUUAAGGUGUGGCAUAUGCAGACAACUGAAUCAGACCAUUGAUGUUUGAUUAUUGAAUGCAUCCGGAAUAAGAGGAGAGGGAGACGGCAACGUGGUUUUAAAUAUGAAAAUAUGUGGCGCCGGGACCCCUCCUAUGCUGCUCUAGUGGCAGACUCCUGGGGUAAUCCAAAUGCAAUCCAAAGCCUUGGCCAACUGCAAUUGGUUCUACGGAAGAUGAAGUGCUCCUUCCAGGAAUGGGAGGCUUCUGUUUUUGGAUCGGUUAGGAGAGACUUGAACCGUCUACGCCGUGAACUGGAGUCAGUACGGCGUCGGUCUCUGUUUACUGGUCCAUCCCAAGAGGAGCGUCAGCUCAUGUACAGGAUCUCCGAACUGCUGGCUAGGGAGGAGACUAUGGAGAGACAACGGUCACGCAUUACAUGGCUGAAGCUAGGGGACCGUAAUACCAAGCUGUUCCAGGCUAAAUCAAAGGAGAGAGCCAAAAUGAAUCAGAUUGUUGGAUUGAGAUCAGAUGAUGGGGUGUUGAUCACUGAACAGGUGGAGCUUGAGGCCUUGGCGUCAGAUUUUUAUAGUAACCUGUUCACGGCACAGCUAGAACAACGCCCUGAGAACAUCCUGGCACAUGUGCCACUGCGGGUUACGGAUGAGAUGAAUGUGUCCCUGGAAAGCCCCUACACAGCCCUGGAGGUGGAACGGGCUCUUUUUAUGAUGGGCGCUAACAAGGCUCCGGGACCCGACGGGUUCACAGCAGGUUUCUAUCAAAACCAUUGGGACGUGGUUGGGCCGAGCAUUACGAAGGCGGUGAUACACUUCCUAAAUGGCGGCCAUAUGCCAGAAGGUAUUAAUCAGACGACAAUUGUGCUUAUACCGAAAGUCAAACAUCCCCAAGAUCUAAAAAAUUUUAGGCCAAUUUCUUUGUGCAAUGUCAUCUACAAAAUCUGCUCUAAAGUAUUGGCUAAUAGGCUUCGGGUCUUUCUUGAUGAGAUCAUCUCCGAGGAGCAAAGUGCUUUUGUUCCUGGACGCCUGAUCACUGACAAUGUGUUAGUUGCAUAUGAAUGUACACAUUAUCUGAAGAGGAAGAAAGGGAAAACUGGGGCGUGUGCAAUCAAGCUGGAUAUGGCUAAGGCAUACGACCGAGUGGAAUGGAAUUAUUUAAGAGGAAUUAUGCUGAAACUGGGCUUUGCUGAAAGUUUUGUUAACACCGUCAUGAGAUGUGUUACCUCAGUGGUCUUCUCAGUACGUGUAAAUGGUAAUCUUUCAAGGCUCUUUCGACCGACUAGGGGUAUACGACAAGGUGAUCCUAUUUCACCCUACUUAUUCUUAUUAUGCUCGGAGGGUUUAUCGUGUCUCCUGAAAUCAGUCGGCCCUUUAUACUUCUCAAGAGGAGUCCGAGUGGGUAUCCAUGCUCCCUGGAUUUCACAUCUCCUCUUCGCAGAUGACUGCAUUGUGUUCUCAGAAGCUUCGAAACGAGGAGCUGAUCGGCUGCAUGAUGUUCUGGAAACCUAUAGCCGAGGUUCAGGUCAGCUGGUGAACAAAGAUAAAUCUGUAGUGUUCUUCAGUUCAAACUGUGAUGAUGGUGCAAAAAAUGAGGUGAGAGAGAUUCUCCAAAUUGAGACUGAAGCACUAGCUGACAAGUAUUUGGGUCUCCCGACCGCUCUUGGGCGGUCAACAAAGGAGGCCUUUGAAUACAUGCCCACCAAAAUCAGGGGUCUGGUGGGGGCAUGGAGUGGGCGGGAAGCGAGCUGUGCCGGUAGAGAGGUACUUCUGAAAUCAGUGGCUCAGGCAAUUCCCACAUAUCCAAUGAGUUGCUUCUUAAUUCCAAAGGAUACCUGUCGGAAAUUGAAAUCGUUGUUCUCGAACUACUGGUGGGGUAGCUCGGCUGAUAGCAGACAUAUGCAUUGGCAGCGCUGGGAACUUCUAAUGAGACCCAAGGUACAGGGAGGUAUGGGCUUCAGAGACCUCAGAUGUUUUAACUUGGCUAUGCUGGGGAAACAGGGGUGGAGGUUAAUUGAGAACCCGGAAUCUUUGUGUGCGAAGGUUCUCAAAGGACGUUACUUUCCUGAUGUUGAUUUUCUAACAGCUACUCGGAAGAAGCAUGCUAGCCAUACUUGGCGCGCAAUUCUGGAAGGGAGAGAGGUCCUAAAGAAAGGUUUAUUGCGGAGGAUUGGAGAUGGCAGCACAACAGACAUUUGGCAGGACCGAUGGCUUCCAAACCACUUUGGUGGGCGACCGAUUGUUAUGCCGGAUGCCCCACAAGUUCGCUUGGUUUCAGACCUAGUAACGCCUAGUGGAGCAUGGAAUGAGAGGUUGAUUAGACAAAUUUUUGUCAACGUCGAUGCUCGGGCAAUCCUGAGCACCCAGAUCAGAGGGGCUGGGGAUGACACUUGGGCUUGGGAGCCGGAGCGACAUGGUCUUUACACGGUACGUUCAGCGUAUCGCAAGCUGUAUGAUGAACUGAAUAUGCAGACAACCGAUGGGUUGGCAUCAUCCUCGGGAGAGAAGGUCUGGAAACAGAUUUGGGGCUUAUGUGUGCCGCCGAAAGUGAAAUCCUUCUGGUGGCGUGUAGUGAACGGAUUCCUACCGACUAAGGGUGAGUUACACCGAAGACAUAUUGAACCCUUGCCAAACUGUGAUGUUUGUGGGGCAGAAGAAGAGUCAAUUAAGCAUGUCUUGAUGGACUGCAGUGUUGCUAAAUGUUUCUGGGUAGAAAUGAGGAAGCUGACUGCAGUAAAACUCCCACAUUUACAUCCACUAACCUGGGCACAUGAUUUAGUGGAUCCAGGGCGAUGUUCCCCAAGAGCUGCGGCAGUUUUACUCUGUGGAAUGUGGUCCUUAUGGAUGGCACGGAAUAAAAGACGACAUGGUGAAUCUCCUUACCCAAUUCGUUCAGCAGUGCAAUGGGUCAAGGAUACAGCUUUCGAUCUAUGGCAACUGAGCCAUCCCCCAAAAUGUCCGAGAAUGGCCCAACCAGAGCAACAACACUGGCAUAAGCCGGACCCUGGAUGGACGAAAUGUAAUGUUGAUGCAUCUUUCUAUGAGGGGGACAGCACAGGAACGACAGGAGUAGUCCUACGUGAUCAUGAUGGACAACCUUGUGGUGCUAUGGCUAGAUGGUAUGAACAAACGCUGAAUGCUAUGACCGCUGAAGCUCUGGCAUGCCGUGAUGGUAUGCAAUUCGCGCAAGACUGUGGGGUCAGCAAGCUAGUUCUUGAAACGGAUUGCCAGGUCUUGGUGAAGCUUUGGGAGAAUCGCAAGACACAGAGAUCAGAGGUUGCACCUGUUCUGUUCCAGAUGCAAGACCUUAGCCGGAAUUUUGAAGCUUUCAGUUUUUGUUUUGUUAGCAGAACCUGUAAUAAAUUAGCUCAUGAGUGUGCUAGAUUGGUGUCUCGUGAAAACCCGGUGGAAAUGUGGCAUAUAAUUCCACCAGGUUUACAAGGCACGGUUGAUCUCGAUUGUAAUCCUGCACAUGAUUAAUACAAGCUCCGGCUGUUCGCAAAAAAAAAAUAUCUUGUUAGCAGGACGGGUAGGUUUAUAGGUGCAGGUCGAACAUCCUUUGUGGUGUCUAGAUUCCGUAAGCUUCCCCAAUAGAACAGUAGAUCAUCCUUACUAAGGUUAGAACGAGACUACGGUUGCAGUCUUCUCUAUACAUCACUCACAUCGAGAAACAUUCUUUGUAGCCUAAAGGGAUAGUAGCAAUAGAUUUGGUUAGUCAGAUGCACCCUUUCUCCCAGUGGUAAAAAUAUAAAUACGAUACUCUGGAAAACCUUCCGGGUGAAAUGCUCACCGAUAUCCGUGCGCUUGCGGAUCAUUUCCUGAUUGCGUUACCAAAUAUUAACAAGCAUUUCUGGCGCCGUUGUCGGGGAGAAAGACGGUUUGCUGAGAUAACUUUAAGUCUUGCUACUAUCUUGUAUUAUAUUUUUAUGCUUUUAUUCUUUUAUCUUUUUAUUUUUUCCAUCUUUAUGGAUAACUCAAAUUCCACACCUAUUAUUGAAUUUUUUGCACCUUCGGAGACCAGCCAUAGACCAUGGGAGUCAACAAGUCCUGCCCCUAAUUAUGAUCUGUGUCCGGAGUUGAUUGCAAUAGGUCAAAACCAACCCUUCUCUAUAGCUGAGGUCCUAUCUUUUAAUCAAGAAGAUAAUGCACUUUUUGCUACACUUAGGGAAUCUGUUAACCUUUCUAUAAAUUCUGGUUUAGACCUAGCCCAACAAGACCAUGUUUUUUCUCGAUAUUUUUACAUUGGUCUUAAUUAUAUACCCUUUGAUAGAGUAUUUCUUUCUUUAUCUAUUAGUAAAGGAAGGUAUGUCUUCAUUCGUAGACAUCCUUCUUGCACUAGUCUUCAUAGAAAAAUCCUAGAGAUAGAGAAGGAAUCAUCUCCCAGACGAGGAAAGGAAGUUUCAAUAGCUAAUUUCCAAAUAUUUCAAUCCCAUGAUUCGGCUAUCCAUCCCAUCCUUGAGCUUAAUAAUUUCUACUAUGCUCUUUCUCUUGAACCUCCCGAUAAUCCUAUGAAUCUCUCUAGACAUCCCAUGCAUAAGAAGGAGGAUCGAGAAGAGCAACAUCAAUGGCUAGAGGGCAUUAAAAAUCCAUGUGCUAUCACCAUUGAAUGGAUAGAUAAAACAAACUUGAGAGACAAUCCUAGAGAAAUUUUUAGCAUUCAUGAAGAAUCAUCCUUGAAGUUUGAGAAUGAGAGAAACAAUAGUGAGCAUGGAAGUUAUUUCAUAAAUACCUUAUCAAGUCCUUGCUCAUAUAAAACAUCUCCCCAAUCAAUUGGUCUCUCCAUCCUUACCACAUUUGAGAUCUCCAACCCCCUUUUACUUUCUAUUUAUAAAAACUUUAAAAGGGCGGUUGUCGAUGCAUAUGUCUAUAAUAAAUAUUGCAGAUCUCGUUGCGUUGAUCUUGAUAUAGGUCAGCGUUGGAGGGGAAACCACUUCACCGACAUAAUUUGAUGGUUUUCCAAGGAUAAGCUUAGCGUCCUUAAACAAGCACUUAUCAGAUUGUAACAUGUAUUUGCAACAUUGCCUCGUGUAUUGAGCAUAUUGAGAUAAUUGUAGAAAUAUUCCUUCGGGUAUUCUUGCCACUAACCUUUCCAGGAUUGGAGCAAGAAGAUCUGAUGAAUGACAAGCACAAGGUAUGUCCAGCCAACCAUCAUACAACAUUGAAUUAAAUUCAUCCAAACUUGAAUUUCACAAAAUUCAAGUUUGGGGGAGUACUUGACAUAAAAACAUCCUUUGCCAUGUUGCUAUGUUGGUUGUCCCUACCUUUGAGAGAUGCUCAAUUUGUUAAGUACUAAUCACACUACUUCAUCUCCACUUGAGUAGAUCUCUAUAAAUGUUGUCAUGCUACCUUUAUCUAUUUACUAGCAAGUGUUGGUUUGGAAGUACUCGACAUACUUCCAUUGGCAUUUAAAUUAAGCAUGGUGCUUAGGUUAAAUAGCCUUCCUUAAUCUGAUUAGACAUGGAGUCUAGUUUGGUUACUGAACUAAAAACUGCUUGAGUAGAUAUUGGUAUAUUUUGUGGGACUAACCCUUGCAGGAAAACUUUCAAUAUCAACCUGGGAAGUCCUGAGAUAAACUCACAUUAGAGAUGAAGAAAGUGACACAUGAAGUUUAACAAUUUGCACAAGAAAGACGUAGCUCAUAAGAGAUGAUUCAUGUAGGGUGCCACAAACACGAUGCACAACCGCUAAGAAAGGAAAGCUUCCACAAGGUGACACUAUACCAUCACUCUUCAAGUAAGGUAACACCUUAAGGUACUUGACUAUCACUUUUAUAAACUUCUCCUUGGUUCUGGCAUUCACACAAAAUAAAGAGACAAACAUGUAUGAUCUGUAACUCCAAAUUAACCAACUCAAUUAAUUCAACAUGUUGAGUCCUUUAAUCUUUGUUCUUAGUACUACCUUCGUGAUCCCACACUCCUAAUCAUAUAAGCUAAUAUGUUGCACAUUCAAUCUUUGGAAGAUAUAAACAAAACAUAAAUAUAGAUAGAUUAUCUUUUCAUUAGGUUGAGCCAUCUGAUCUGACAAAUGUUUUAAAUGCUACACUCAUGAUCCAUCAACUUUGUCUUGCUCUCUAUGCUUAAGGUUCGAGAAGAACAAAUACACUUUUGGUUCUGUUGGUGUUUUCCACCAACAGAGCCCAUGCACUUGAUCUCUGCCUUGUCUCUAUGAGCAGGUACACUUCAAGCAAAACAUGGAGGAAUUUUACAACUCCCAGACUCCACCAAGUGAAGGACCUGGAUAUAUGAGCACAAACACACUGAGCAGGAUAUUGCCAACACCGCACUUCGAACUCCUGGGCAAUCAAAGAAUAUAGGUGACACCGUAUCAAGAAGUGCAGACGUCAAGGUCCACACCUAAUCAAAUGAUGCACCAAAAGGAUGAAGACGGUGAGAAGUCUUGACCAGAAGACUUAAAACAUUGGAUCCUUAUCGGAGGAGGUCAAGAUCGUCGACUCAAGUCGCCUCUCCUGAUUAAGAAGGACGACCCUAGUGUUCCAAGCAUCGAGUGCACAGUCAAUGGAUACUCUUUUCAGAAGACACUCUACGACACCGGAUCUGAUGACAACAUAAUGGCCGCAGUCACUUAUCAGCUCCUGCAUGGAACCAUGCCUCUACAACCAAUAUAUAUUCAGCUCCAGAUGAUUUUCAGAUCAUUGACAUGGGAGAAGACGAGUACGAUCCACCCAUCAUCCUUGGAAGACCAUUCCUCAACACUAUCAAAGUUAUCGUCUACAUUGAAAUCGGAGAAGUCCACGUGUACUUCCCCUCUAAGAAGGUACACCGCUAUUUUACUGACCCUAACUAUAUAGUUGAAGACUCUAACAUCAAGGACGGAUGGGUAGACUACGAAGGAGAAGUGACAAGGUCUGGAGACAUAUAGCUUGAACAGAACUGUCCUGAGGAGACCAUAGCACCGAGUCAGGUGAGGAGAGAGAAGAUAGUUAUACACGAAGAUGAGGCGCCACCGGAAUCACCGACUACGCCAUCCAACGAAUCCCAGGACGACUGAGAAAACGGAGAGUCCCGGAGGACUUAAAAACACCGAACGCCUUGCCAAGAGGUAAACUUGGUAGUUAUCCUUUUCCUUUUAAUAGUUUGCUUAGUUAAUCAGGUUCACAUCAUCUCGAAAAGAAAAUAAAAAUGUUAAAAAUAGUAAGCUCCAUGUGAGUAUGCUCAUGGCAUAAAACCCAUAGGUACAUUCACUGUGGUGGCAUAAAAUAAAUAUGUUUUCAUCUUACAAUAAAAAUAUAAAAAUAAUAAGUGCAUGAUCCUGCUAAAUAAAUAACAUUUAUUGAGGAGGCUCAACAUGAUAGAGGCUAGAUAUUUAUGCUAACACUUAACCAGUUUCACAAAGCUUUGUUGUCUAUUUGAGCUCCACAGAAUUCAAGGAUCAAAGAAAACUAGCAGACGAAGGACAUCCUAAUCGUUGUCAGGGUGCUGCCGACUUUCAAAUACACCUCCAUCACCUGCUAGCUACAUCAGAAGAAAUUACGUCAAAAUCCAGCUUGGGAGAGAGCACCCCCAUUUAUCCAGCUAAGUGUUUCUACUCGCGUUUAUACUUUACUCAAAUAAUAAAAGAUGCAUAAUCAUGAAAACCCAAAUAAAGAUUUUGUGCUUUUAUAUAUAUAUCUUUGCUUAGUUUGCUAAAUAAAUAAAUAAAUAAAGUUUGCUAUGAACCCUCAUGAUAAGCUCUCACAUGGAAAUAAUGAAUAGUUGCUCUGCCAUGACUAGUUCUUAAAAUUGAAAUCUCUCUCAAGUUUAGGCAUGACUGUUAUGAAGUAAGAUUUGCUCUAAACCUGAACUUGUGGAAAGAGUACUUGAUCUAAAGUCUAAGUCGUUAACGGAUAUGAUAUGGAAGGUUGAGCUGCUGUUUAUCUGUUCCUAGAGAUGCUAGAAUUCUGGAGAAUUUUAUCUUUAAAAAAUCUUUAAAAUAUCAUAUGAUGAGUUCCUGUAUGAUGAGAGUUUAAAAUCCUACCUCAGCCAUAUAUACAUGCUUAUUAGACUUUUAGCCACACAUUUACUUUUUACUGCUUAUGAGCAUUGAGUGUGGUCAAGCUAUGUAGACCCUUAGGAGCUUGUCAUGUGGUUAAAAUCUAGAUUCACUUGCAUGUUCACUCGUAUAUGCUGCUUCUACUCUGGAAGUACGCAUCCACAUACAUCCACUCAUUUCCAUCUCCAGAUUCACCCAAAAUUAUUCUACUCCUAAUCCGGGAGAGAAUAGCUAAAAAUAUUUUCCUAUCCCUAUUAUUCCCUAUGAAAUAAAUGCUCCAGUUAUUUUGGUUACUACCACUUGCUAUAUUAUUUCAGGAGAUGAGUGCUCUAAAAAAAGAAGAGAAAGAAAGAAAAAAAGAGAGAAAAAAAAUAUACGAGGAAAUAAAAAGGGGCAAAUGCCCGGAACCUCGAAGAAAAGAAAAAGUGAGACGAGAGGUAAAAAUGGACAAGUGUCCGACAGUAGAAUUAGGGGUACAAGAUACCCACCUGAGAGAGAAAGAAAAAGAAAAUAUAGAGCAUCUCAUUAUCCUCAAAAAGCUUCAAAGUGCAAGAAAGGUAUGUAUCCCCUUAAAAGAGCAAAAAUAGAAUUUGACUUUCACCAUUGUUAUCACCAUCAUCACCAUACACCAUUCAUUCGCCACACAUGCACAUCUUGAUUUGACUUAUUGACUUGUUUCUCUGGAUCCAUGGUUUGACUAUGCAAUAAAUGUCUUGUAAGUAUGUAUUAGCUGUCUCCCACCUAUGAGCUCCAGAUAUCAAAACCUUAUUAGAAUAGGGUGAGAGAGAAGGCAAUAUCACUAUGCCUCAUACCACAAAUACUACAUACUUUGAGAGAAGGCAUAUACCAUUAUUGCCUUGGUAAGGAUCUAGAAAUACCACAAAAGAGAGAUCUGAGAGAGUCAUACAAGGAAUCUCUGAGUUUUAUUUGAAAAUCUGCAAAAAACUCCAGAGCUAUAGCUGAUAAAGAAUAAGAGACAUAGCGCUUGACUUGACCGUUCUAUCUUUUAACUGCUCAAAACACAAGUGACGAUUACAAGUCCUAUGGUGAAAGGUAAAAUGAGUAAGUUUUAAGUCUUAACAGUUUAUUCUAACUCAGAGAUGAGAUCUUGCUUGAAUGCGUGUGUACUUUUAAGGCAUAAAACCACUACAGAAACUCUUGAGUUCAUCCUUGCUCAGGGACGAGCAAGAGGUAAGCUUGGGGGAGUUGUUGACGGUCCUUAAGUACCAAAUAUAAUCAUCAAAUAAAUAAAGAAAAGGAUCCAAAUGCAACCAACACCUAGACUUAGGGUUUUAUCUGACAGAAUUCCACGAGUUUUGGUGUUUGUCUAUUUCUGCAGGGGGUUAUCAGGAAAUACGAAAGAAAGGCCCACAUGUCGAGAUUACAUAGAGAUAUCAACGCACCGCGAAAGUUUCUACCAUCUAGAAGACUCCAGAAGCCACGGGAAGAAAGCAGAGGCCGAAAGGGGCUAGGCCCAGGGCGCCCGCCCUGUCCUGGACUCCGUUCGGGACUCUCUUCGCACAUGAUGUUCCACCGACCUAAAGGAUCAAAGAUAACGUAGUACCACAUCGCCUACCGACCCAAAAACGCAUAGAGGAGGAGGACUAUAUAAGGAGACCCCCCUGGCCCCUGGAGAAGACAAGAAGUUAUCAUAGAGAUUGAGGGGUGCCCUCGAAGAAAAACCUCUUCUCUAAAUAAUAUUUCUUUUUAGGCUUAGCAACCAAUGUAAGUAGAAAUAGAUCUUCUAGUUUCUACUAGAUUGAGAGAGAUAGAGUGGAGGUGUAGAUAGGAGGAAGGCCGGCCUAUCGGUGUCUACUCCGAGUUAUACCUGCGGGAUCAAGUCUUCUAACCCGAGGCUUGCUCCUAAGAUUCUUCAGUAAUUCGACUUCUAAAUUCUAGUAAGUUCUUGUUUUAUUGUUCUUUGGUUUAUGGGUUUACUUUAAUCCUCUUCCGGUUGAGUAUUAGAGUAAUCAUUGCUAGCGUAAACGUGGUGUUUAGGCUAGGGUACUCAUAGAUAUCCCCUGACUAGCUGGACCGUGGUAGUAGCGAGGAACGUGACAUUUCCGAGUUACCUUUGUAUCCCAUAUCUUGUUAGCAGGACGGGUAGGUUUAUAGGUGCAGGUCGAACAUCCUUUGUGGUGUCUAGAUUCCGUAAGCUUCCCCAAUAGAACAGUAGAUCAUCCUUACCAAGGUUAGAACGAGACUACGGUUGCAGUCUUCUCUAUACAUCACUCACAUCGAGAAACAUUCUUUGUAGCCUAAAGGGAUAGUAGCAAUAGAUUUGGUUAGUCAGAUGCACCCUUUCUCCCAGUGGUAAAAAUAUAAAUACGAUACUCUAGAAAACCUCCCGGGUGAAAUGCUCACCGAUAUCCGUGCGCUUGUGGAUCAUUUUCUGAUUGCGUUACCAAAUAUCAACACUAGUCUCCCAAUAGCGUGCAUCCAAAAAUAAGCGAAGUGCAAGCGAACAAUUUCCCUCGUUCGGCCAACAUUCGUUCUUAACCAUCUCGCUAAAUAUUGCCGCUGCCUUAUGGAGCUCCCUUCUGUCUAGCAAAAUCAAUUUCCCUCAUUUGGCCCACAUUCGUUCUUAACCAUCUCGCUAAAUAUUGCCGCUGUCUUAUGGAGCUCCCUUCUGUCUAGCAAAAUCUAGAGGACCACAUUGUAUGUGUUGGUAUUAGGGAACAAACCAUUGAAGAUCAUGUCGUCCAGAUAAUCCACUAUCACCUCACCAUGCCCAAGACUGCCCUGCAGCAUGAUCAUUCUGUUGUACAUUUCCAUGUCUCGGACGAGCCCUCGACGCCCAACAAACUUGUCCCAAAGAUAAGUGGCGCCGCGCAAUUCUCCUACCUCAAGGUGCACGGCGAGAGCAGCACGAAAGAACCUCUCUCCUACUCCCGGCGAACAACCACGCCUGUUUAAGAAAUCUAGAUAGUACAUUGCUUUCGGUAGCGCCAUGGAGGAGUUGCUUGACACAAGCGUAGUGAGGAAGGCAUCAUAGGCAGGCACGUUGUCAAGAUCAACACCGAUGUCGCGCACCAUUUUGUCGAACACGUUGCGUGCAGCCCGCGUGUCGGGGGUAGCCUCGUAGCACUCGAGGAGGAUGGUGUAGGAGUCGGCAUCCAGAAGCGUGCCGGCCUCGGCGCGGGCUACUAGGAUCGUCGCGUGGGCGUCGUCGAGGCGGUCGCCACGACAGAGUGCGGAGAGAAGCGAGUUGAGCGCCAGCGUGUCGCGGGUCAUGUCGUAGCGCAGCAUGUCGUCCAUGAACGCCUUGAGCAGGCAACAGCCGGGGCUUGCCGCGAGGGAGGAGAAUACGGAGGCGAAAGUAUCGAGCAAGAGCAGCCGCCGCGAGUGAAUGGAGUCGACGGUUUCCCACAUGCGCGUGAAGAGGCAGUUUGUGCUGAGGAUGUCGACGAUGAGGUUCCAUGAGUUGGGGGAGUGGUUGUCAUGGUCGAGGUGCCGGUGCCCCGCCCAGUGGAAGAAGGCGGUGGCGGCGUGCGGGUGCACCUAGGAUGAGCGAAGCACCUGCUCGACGUCAACGGUGGUUACGCCGCGGAUGUCGGUCUUGUCGAGCGUGGCGUCCACGUCGUCGUCGGUGCGGGAGGCUAGGAUAUCGUAGAAGAUGCGGGUCUUGGGGGGCAGAUCGGUGGCUUCCUUGUUCGUGGGGAACGCCGGCGAGGAUGGGUCACGGGCAAGCUUCGCCGCCGGCAAUGCCACCGUGGCUGCGCUGUCGGACGGUCGCUUCGCCAGGUGAUGGGACAUCAUGGCGGGGGAACUCGAGUGGUGGCUUGGACAGUGGACCGGACCCCGAGAGGCUGCACUGCUGCAGGGGUCGGUUGGGCCGUUGGGGUACUCUUGUAGCAUUUAUUUAUGUCACGUAUUAUAGUUCCUUCGUCCCUCAUUCUUGCUUAAAAAUAGUUUUAAAUUAAAUUUAUAUUAAAAAUAUUAAUAUUUAUAGUAUAUAAUUAGUAUCAUUAGAUAGAUCAUUAAAUCUAUUUUUAUAAAAUAUAUUUUGAAAUAUAAAAUUAUUGAUAUAUUUUCUAUAAAUGCAGUCAAGUUUAUUGGCAUGUAAAUCAAUCAACAACAAAAAUUAGUAUGGUUUGAAACUGAGGGCCGAAAAUAAGGUAUCUGUAGUAGUGUUUGUCUAGGUGUGAGAAUAUUUAAUUUUUUUCUUCAUUGUCUUCUUCCUCCUCUCCAUGCAUCGUCGUCGCUUAGUGCCCACCGUGGUGGAAUUCUGGUGAAACUCUACUUUGUCUGCGGUGGCCUCCUUCCUCUUCCCUCUCUCGCCGCUGCUAUAGUCAUGUGAGCCUCUUUUAAGCCUGCGGGGCUAAGAAGAAGAUAAUUGAGUGUUGAGAAGGAGAGAAACCCUUGAGCAUACGAUAGCUUUACCGCACAAAUAACAUGCAUUUGUGCAGCACUUGAGGGACUUCCAGGUCACACCUAUAAUGAAAAUUCAUCUUUGCUUUUGUCCCUGUAUUAAAAACUGAAAUAAAACUUUUCUAGAGGAAAAAAUAGGUGAGUUUGAAUUUUGUGUACAAAAUAAAUAAAUGGUGAAGACAACCAGUCACAAAAAUAAAUAAACGGUGAAGACAACCAGUUGUUUAGAAGUACUAUUACCAAGGACAAAUGCCUCCAAGGAGGGUAACGACGCUCCAAAACCUUUCAUGGAUCUUCUGGGUGGAAACCUUGUCCCUGUUGUGCAAGCAAUGUCGGCGUUGUCCGCGUCACGCUCCUCCUUGGAGUUCCCUGGCCAUGGCGCAUGUGGGGCUGCCUCCCCGUCUUUCUUGGUGCUACAUGUGGCUAUUGCUGCCUAUGGUCCUGCAGCGUCUUUCAUCAUUAUCGUUGUGUGUGUGAUCCCUCCGCGCAAAUCUUCAACCUAUGUGUUGUCCUACGUGGUGGUCUCUUCUUUGGCGGAUGCUUUGCCCCUUCGUUUGUCGCUUACCCGGUGGAUACUUUGCCAUUGAUGCACUCCUUUCUGGCGGAUGCUUUGUGUCAGUGUUGAUGGCUCGCUAUGAAGAUACUUUGACGUUGUAGGUCUUGGCGAUUGAUUCGCUAUUGUUUCAGCUUUCCUUGAUUGCUUCCUUGUUGGCUUUCUUAGCGGAUGCCUUGCCACUACCAUCGCACGUCUCGUUUUCGGUGAAUACUUUGCCACCAAGGUCAUUGUGGUUCUCUCUAGUGGAUACUUUGUUGCCUCUAUUGUUGCAAUCUCGUCUGGUCUUCUUUUGGUAGAUGCUUCGCCACUGCAGAUUCAAGGCCUUGUAGGCUAUUUCUGUAUUGUUGUCAUUUGAUCAUAAGUUCAAUCUGCAAGGGUGUUGAGGCUAGGGUCUUCUUUUCUUUGUUUUUUCUCUUGUUGCUCAUUGUUUUUUGGGGCUAUUAUGGUAAUUCUAGGAUUACCUAUGAGUCCUAUGUAAGUGAAAAUUUCUACCUCUGCUUAAUGAAUAUCGUGCCAAGCCAUGUUCCAUAAAAAAGAAGUAUUAUUGCCAAACUAAAGUGUUGUGAGUAUGUGAAAGGACCUAAUAUGGCUAGAGGGGGUGAAUAGCCUAUUUAAAAAUUCUACAAACUCACUAGAGCAAGAGGUUAGUAAAAACAAAGCAAAGCUUUUUGCUCUAGCUCUAAUGGGGUGUUUGCAAGCCACCUAACCAACAAUUUUACUUGCUAUAAUCACUAGGCACACAAGAACUAAGUCUCUACUUACAUUAGAGAACUACCUAAAGUUUCUAUACAAGUAAGCUACUCUAGUUAGCGGGAAUGUAAAAGAAAGUAAUGCAAAGUUGAGUUAGAGAUGUUAUACCACCGUGUAGAGGAGAUUGAUCCAAUCACAAAAGAAUAUCCAAGAUAACCAAGAAUCCAAUCAAUCACUAAAUAACCAAGGGAGACAAAAAGACACAAAGAUUUUUCUCCAGAUGUUCACGUGCUUGCCGGCACGCUAUGUCCCCGUUGUGUCGACCAACACUUCAUGAUCCGACGAUUAAUUGGGGUUCCACACCCAAGCUCACCACGAGCACCGCAAGGACCUACCACAAGUGAGGUAACUCAAUGAUACGUGCAAUUCGCUAAUGGUUGCCUUUGGCUCUUCGCCGGGUGUUGACGGUCCUUAAGUAUCAAAUAUAAUCAACAAAUAAAUAGAGAAAAGGACCCAAAUGCAACCGACACCCAGACUUAGGGUUUUAUCUGACAGAAUUCCACGAGUUUUGGUGUUUGUCUAUUUCUGCAGGGGGUUAUUAGGAAAUAUGGAGGAAAGGCCCACACGUCGGGUUUACAUAGAGAUAAUUACGUGUCGCGCAAUUUUCCCUAACCUAGAAGAGUCCAGAAGCCACGAGAACGAGCGAGAGGCCGAGCGGGCCCGGGGACAGGGCGCCCGCCCUCCCCCCUUGGGCGCCCGCCCUGCUGCCUGGGCCAAUCAGGCUCCGUCUCGCGGAUAAUGCUCCACCGACCUAGAGGAUUAAGGAAAACCGUGCGAUUAAGGUUGGUUUGAUCCGACGGCCCAUAUUCAUUUGGAGGGACUAUAUAAGCAGGCCCCUUGGCCCCUGGAGGAGGCACCUCUGAAACCCUAAUUCAUUCAUUCAUCUCGGGAGAAGAAGUCUCUGAUCAAGCCCUAGAGCCACCACAUCAACUAGAUCUCUAGUUUAGCAUAGCUACAUAGGAUUAGAACUAGAAGGAGUCAAUCUUCGAUUGGUUUCUGGAUGUGUCAAGAGGAUUCUUGGUAAUUCCUCUACUGUUCUUUAUUUGUUCAUCAUUGUUCUUCAAUAUUAUGAAUAUGACUUUGUUCUACUUUAAUAUAUUGAUUAUGACUUUGCUAUACUUGUUUAUAUUUGCAAUUAUAUCGUUCUUAGUUUAUCAUAGUUAUAUGCUUGGCUUAGUUAGAUUGGAAUUAUAUACUGUUUAGGAUCAUAUAGCAUUUAUCCAUGUGUACAGUGGGUAAAUGAUAAGUAUUGUGUAGGUGUGGUGCCUAUACCGUAUUUAUCUACGAUUGUACCCUAUAUGCCGGAUCGCGGGGUAGUUCGUGGUGGUGACAGCUCCAUUGAUUCUUAUAUAGUCCCCCUCCCGUGUAUAGGGCAGGCAGAGCAACAUUAUUAUAGGGGAGUGGUUGCUAUGUUUCUCAUCUUCCUUGAUAAUAUUACUAUGCAUGGGCGUAGUCCUGUCUCGUAAUGAUUGCCAAGUAUAAUUGCACUAAAUAUGAUAUGCUAGACUUUAUAGUUAAGAAUAACUUAGGAAAUAUUCUUGUAGUUCAUCCUAGUUCCAUGCUAAUGACUUGCUAGAAUAUCUGUUGAGGUGCUUAUCAUUAUUAUAUGUGGCUAGUUAUGUUGAUCAGAUUAAUUAUCUUUAUCACUAUUCAUACUUUAUCUAUAUUUUAUGUGACAUUUAUCCCUGUAUAAAAGAGAUAGAUAAAUGCUCUCUAUUACACAUGCAAUGAUAGGUACUCAAUUCCAUAUUUCAUUCCACAAUCAACAUUGAUGAUUAGCAUUCCCUUCCCAGUGGUAAAAAUAUAAAUAACAAUACGUGGAAUACUUCCCGGUUAAAAUGCUACAUCGGUAUUAAUCUGUGCACUUGCAGAUCUCAAUUAUUAUUCAUUCAGAAGAGCAAUUGCAUAUUUCAAUACCGCGUCUCUCAUGACAUGCUGGGGAUGACAACUUGGCUUAAGUGGCAUGAGGGAUAGGUUCGGCAUUUUUGGCGCCGUUAUCAGAAUUAGAAAACUAAGUCUACUUUUGGUAAUAGCGUUAAGAAUGCCCGACACCGGGGUAGGCACAAAAGUCCUCACAAUCACCGAGAGAUGGCCAUGAAUAAUCACCAACUCGUGUCAAUGCUCCUCCGCUGCUCCAAGCAGUCUAGGUGGCGGCAACCACCAAGAGUAACAAGAAAACCGCAGCCAAAUCGAUCCCCAAGUGCCACCAGACGCAAUCACUCAAGCAAAUGCACUUGGAAUCACUUCCAAUCUCACAAAGAUGGUUAAUCUAUAAAGAAGAUGAGUGGGAGGUGUUUUCUUAGGCUCACAAUGAUGUCAAGUAUGAUAGAAUGCCAAGAGAGUGAGCCAUAAACUGGCUAACAUAUAUUUAUAAGCCCCUCAAAAAAUAGAGCCGUUGGCUCUUUCACUGGGCAGAACACGGGGUCACAGGACGCACAGCAGGUGACCACCGGACGCUCAACCCUUGCGUCCGGUGCUCCAGAUCCAGCCGCAUGUCAGCUAAGCGAACCUCACGCGUUGAUCUCUAAUGCUAAAAUUCGAACCACUGGACGCGGUCAAGUAGAUACCAAACGCGUCCGGUGUACACCGGUCAUGUACACAGAGAGGGUUGCAAAGACGCAGGAGCACCGGACUCACACCACUGGACACUCCCUGAGCGUCUGGUUGAAAGCCCAAGUUUGGUUUUGGUAAUUAAUGACACCUAGUUGCUAAUGCUUUGUACUUAAGUAAAUUGAGAUAGGCAUAGCAACACAUGUGAUGAAGGAGCAAGGUGGCAUGGAAAGUUGGCCACGUGAUUACAAAGAGAUGAAGCAUGAUGUGGAGAUCAUGAUGAUAGACAAGGGAGAAAGUAAACAAGGAAAAGGUAUAAACAUAGGGUUUUGCUUUUGUUGUUCUAAGUUGAGUAGAGAAGUGUUUGAACGGGUUUAGGAUAGAUAGCCGACUAUCAAGAGGGGAAAUCACGGUCAUCUCUCGAAUCAAGUGCUACUAGGUCCAUAUCUUGAGCAUAUGCAUUAGGAUCUAGUAAAGUGCUAACUUGAAUCCUUGAUAAAAAUAUUUGUGAAAAUGCUAACACACUUGCACAAGUGUUGUGACACUUUUGUGUUGGCACAUGGAAGCAAGGGAAGAAGUUGUAGGCCGGACACGUUCAAUGUGAGGUCGGACGCGUUCGACGUGAGGCCGGACGCGUCCGGUAUGAGGUCGGACGUGUCCGAGUUGAGCGUCCGGUGUGAUCUCAACUUUUUCCGGACUCUCUGUGUUGAGUCCGGUGUAAAUCGUCCGGAGUAGACACUGUCACGAGUAGCUCUCUGAGUUUGCGUCAGUUGCACACCGGACGCGUCCGGUGUGACACCGGACACGUCCGAGUUGAGCGUCCGGUGCAAACUCAGUUUUAAGCCUCUCUGUGUUUAAGUCCGGUGCACACCGGAUGCGUCCGGGUUGUGCGUCCGGUGCUGUGGCGUUUCUGCGAACCUCUCUGAGUUUUCGUCCGGUCUCACUCGAGACCGUCCGUUGCGUUCCAAGUCGAGAGUUCGGUGCCGUGUCUCGUGCAACGGCAACGGCUACUUUUUGUACGGUCAAAGGCACCGGACGCUGUCCUGGUUCAUACCGGACACGUCCGGUGUGGUCGACUGCAUCACUUUGAAAACAGCCAACGGCUAGUUUUUUUGAGGGAGCUUAUAAAUAGUUGGUGGCCAGUUUUGGGGGUUCUCUCUUUCACAUUUGAAUAUUUGAGGCAUACAUUGAGCUAGAGAACACUCCCUCCACUCAUUUCCUUGCUUGAUUGCUAAUCCUAGUGAGAUUGAGUGAGAUUCAAGUGCAUUGCUUUGAGAGUUGCAUUUAGUGGCACUUGAUUCUUGAGUUUGCUACGGAUUUCUUGUUACUCUUGGGUGUUUUCCGACGCUCUAGAUGGCUUGGAGCAGCGGUGGUGUUGAGCUCGUGAUUGGAGAUUGUUUCGAGCCUCACCAAGUGUUUUGUGAGAGGUUCUUGAGCCUUCCCCGCGGGAGAUCGUAAUUGACUACUCUAGUGGAUUGCUCGUGGCUUGGAGGAUCCUUAUCUUGUGAGUGGAUGUACGGCACCCGCUGAGAGUUUGGCUUUGGAUUGCCAAUUAGCUCGUGAUCCAUCAAGUGGGUGUAUCGCCACAACGAGGAGUAGCUUGUCGGGAAGCAAGUGAACCUCGGUAAAAAAAUCUUGUGUCAUCUCUUGUCGAGAUCUCUCUUGCAAUUGUGCACGUGAUUGAUUGGACAUAUCUUCUCUCUACAACGUCAGUAUACCAAUUACUCUCUUCUCUUUACAUACUUUUCUUACCUUGUUAGUUUAGCUUGUUUAGCUUAGUUGUUGUGUAGCCUUCUCUAGUUGUUGUGGUUUGUUUAGCUUUCUUGCUAGACUUGUUAGACUUGUGUAGGUGGCUUGCAUAGCUUAGUUGUGCCAGUGCUAGAAUAGCUUUGCCUUUUGUUUUACUAAUCAACUUGUCUAGUU